UUUUUUUUUUUUUUCUCUCGGGGAAUCGGGGGGAGUUAGUUUUCAAGCUUUUGCAAGGUUACUAGUUUGGUUUUCAUUGGAGGUUUUUGAAGAUCAAGGGGAUUAGAGAAGAGGAGCUUCAUGCUUCGGGUCGGGAAAGGAAAGACAUAGAAUUUGGAUUUUUCUUCUUCGUAGAGUUUUGGGAAGACUGAGGCAAUCGCUGCUGAAGUUAGUAUUGUAAUGGUGAAUCGAGAUUUUUAAUGAAGUGGGUUUGAAUACUCUUGACUGUUUUGUGAAAUCGAGUUACGUCUGUGAUUGAAGGAUUAAAAGGGUGUCUAUAGGAUUGAGUAUGCAGAGUGAAUGAAAUUUAUUGGGUUAAUCUAACAAGACAGUCAGUGGAUACAAGAUCGUAAGUACAAAGCGAUAUUGAAGAUUAACAGUUUGGAUUGUUCAGGGUUCUCUGUAACGUCUAGAAACCUACCGACUGGGCAAAAAGGACUUCGACAAGCAGUCGAAGAGCAUCCGUAUAGAUUUACGGUACAUUGUUACAGUCGUUUAUAUUUCAGCAGUCAAAACUGAUAGACUGCUUGACUAUCGACGAAUCUCCAUACUACCUUCUACAGCCAGACGCCCGGCGCGUUCUUGAGCAGGAAAGCACGUAAUACGACAAAAGUGGUGAAUCCGACGUGAAAGCUUGAGGUAGAAGGUAUUGGAUUUCGGUUGAUUUUAUCUUUAUUUAAUGGAAAACGAAAAUAAAAAUUUGGUAGGAUUUUUGGGAGGAGUUUCUGGUGGGGAGUCUUCUAAAGGACAAGGUAUGCACAUGGAUCCAUCUAUUGCUAGUUUGUUUCAAGCCUUCUCAUUGUCAAUGCAGCAAUAGCAAAGCAAUGAUCGAAAGGAAGCUUUGGCAACCAAAGCAUUGCAAGCAGUGGUCAAUAAAAUUGAUCAAUUUGAUGGGAGGAAUAUUUCAAGGUAUUUAAGAUGUUAUGUUCGUGAAAUGGAAUUAAAUCGGGUUUCUGAGAAGAAAAUGGUUGCACUAUUUGGACUUGCCACGAUAGCAGAGAUAAGAGACCACAUUACAUCGAUUACGGAUCAUUAUGGGAAUUCAUGGGAGGAUUUUUCACAUGCAUUGAAAGACGAAUAUUUCUUGGAAGAUGCUGAUCGCGUUACUAAGAAGCUGUUUUUGGGAUGGAUUGAAUGGCCCAAUAAGAAUUUGCAAGCAACAGAGCUACUAAGGGAAUUUGAGAGGCAGUACUCUCAAUUAUCGAAGGUAGAAAAAUUGACAUUGGAGCCGAACAAAGUUGAUCUAUUUCUUCAAGCUGCUCAUGGAGAAUUGCAAGAGAAAUUAGAAUCCCUUCUUGAAGACAAAGAAGAAGAUGAAGGAUUGACAACAAAGUGGAAGAACGUUGAAGAUGCGGUGGGGUUGCUUACAAAAAAAGAAAGGAGGAAGGAUAGGAGCAAUAUUUUGAAAACAGUACAAGCACCCAAAGCUCCAGUACGUACAACACCACCAACAAUGCCUACAGUUCAACCUUCGACAUCCUUGUCAAAGAAAGCAGAUAUGGGUAUGGAAGAAAUUAUACGAGGAAUGCGAGAUCUUCAAAUCAAAUUGGCAAGACUUGAAGAGAAUACUUCUAUAAACAAUUCGAAGAAUGUUUCAAAACAAGGAUAUGUACAAAGAUACAUUUGGUGUGAUGAUGCUUCACACACUAGAAAAGAUUGCAAUGAAUUUAAUAAUAUGAUACGGCAGGAAAUUAUUUGCUGGAAAGAUGGGAAGAUAGCAUUGAAAAAUAGAGAGGAUCUUCUUCAAACCAAUUUUGGCAAGGGAGGAAUGAGAGCAUUGAUUCAUGAUUACUUAAAAGAGCAUGAAACAGUAGCACGAGAAAAUGCAAGUUAUGGUACUAGAGUAGAUGAUGAAAUUGGUGGAAGUAUGGAAACUAGUGAGUUUUGGGCUUCUGCCGUUUCUACAAUGCAAGAAGGGAAAUUACCUCGAGAAGCAUUAUUGAGAACUGCAGCUACAAUACGAGGUAGAACAGGUUGGGAGGAUCCUGUUGAGUCUCUUUCAGUUCAUGCAUAUAUUGCUAAGAGCCAACAUGAAGCUUUGAUGGAAGAAAAGAGACAAGGAAAUUUUGAUGAUACUAGAGAAGGAAAUUCUUUUAAGAGGCAAACUCGAGGAGACAAGGCUCGAGAGGCAGCUUCACAAGAAUUGCCUGUAAAGGAUACCUCAUCAUCAUUGGGAGAAAAAACAAUGGAGACAAAAGAUAAGGGCAAAUCAAUUGCAUAUAAGCUACUUUCUGACAUUGAAGCGGCAACAAAUUUGAAAGGGGUGUUGGAAGAACGUAUAUUAAACGCUAAGGUGGAAUUUACAUUGAAAGAAGUCUUGGGAAUUGCAAAGAAGGAGUUUCAUGAUGUUACCAUUGACAGCAUUAAGCGAAAGAGGUAAUUAAUGGACGAAACUGGAAUGAGUCAUGCUAUUGAUGCAAGAAUAUGUAGAGAUGAAGAAGAGGUUGAUAUUGGUUACAAGCAACCAACAAAUGAAAAGAAUGGGUAUAAUCAGCGAGUACGUUUCGAAGAUUCUAGUGACAAGGAAAUGGAAACUUUGAGCCAUUAUACUCGAAAGCAUUGGGCAAGGGCAACUACUGAGGUAUUGGUGAAGGUAGGAGAUAUAGAAGAACCAAUAGUUGCAUUGGUGGACCAUGGUUCUGAAAUAAAUCUCAUGUCUAAAGAUCUUUAUAAGAAGCAAAAAUAGCCAAUUGAUAUGGAACAUGGAUGGGCAAUACGAACAGCUAAUAACACACGGGGCGAAUUAUAUGGAGCUUGUCCAGAUGUCAAAAUUCGGAUUGGGGAUGUUGCGACGGAGCAACAUUUCUUUAUUCAAGAUACAACGUCUUAUCCGUUGAUUUUAGGACAACCUUAUAUCACGACAACACGGAUGGAAAUAAAAGUACUUGACGAUGGUUCUGCUUAUGCAAGGGUACGGAGCGAAGAUGGGAGGAAAGCUGUACAAUUUCUAACAGUACCUCCUAACCAUGAAUGGAAUCGAGAUAGGUUGAGGGAGAAACCAUUGCCAAAGAUUGUUGAAGGAUUUAAGGAUUUUGGGGAGGUACCACUGUAAAGCGAGAUUAUGGAGGUACAAAAGAGGAGGUACUCUCGCGAGAUGAAGGUGCCUUUGAUGCGAGUUUUAUUGGUAUAUUGGAGAAUGGAAAUAUUAUGUAUAAGAAAGUUGAUGAUUUUAAAAGAAAAGAAAGAAAAAGAUUAUAUAAUAUUGAAGGACAAUUACGCAAGAUAGGUGCAUUGUAAGAUGAUGAGAGGAUUUUGGGUGUUUAUGAAGAAAAUGGACUGGAAGAUUCAUUGGAAUUGAUUACAUCUAUUGGGUUAGGAGAUAAUGAUAAGAUUGUUGAGAUUCAUUGGAGAGAGGUUUAUACCAUGCUUGAAUCUUUUCAAGCACCAGAAGUCACAGUAGAGACGAGAUAUAAAACGGCAGAUAAGAAGAUAAAGCCUGUUGCCGGACCAUUACCAGAGGAUUCUAAAGAACAAAUGGGAGAAGCAUCAAAAGAAGCAAGUUUAAGAGAUCCAAUGAGUAUUGGACAUCAGUUUACUGAAGAGACUUUUGAAGAAUUGAAGAUUGGUUCUGAUGGUUCUUAAUUACCGCAGGAAAUUACUUGCUUCAAAAAGAUGUUGGCUAAACAAGGUAGAUCGUUUGCCUUCGAAUCUCAUGAAAUUGGGUGUGUGGAUCCAAAUAUUAUAACACCUAUGGUUAUCUUCACUGUACCGCAUGUACCUUGGAAUCUAAGACCGAUUCCAGUACCGAGGGCAAAUUUACCUAAAUUGGUCGAACUAUUGAAAGAAAAGAUAAAGAUGAAAAUAUUAGAACCUUCAUUUGUGUCGUAUUCUAGUCGAUGGUUUACGGUACCUAAGAAGAAUGUGUCACUACGGUUUAUUCAAGAUAUGCAGCCGGUGAAUGCUGUAACUGUCAGGAAUGCACGAAUUGGACCUAUUGUGGAUGAAUUUGCUGAGGCAUUUGCUGGAAGGGCGAUCUAUUCAAUGGGUGAUUUGUAUUCAGGUUAUGAUUAAUUUCAACUUGCCGAAGGAAGUAGAGAUAUGACAACGAUGAGGACACCGCUUGGAUUGGUUAGAAUGUGCACUCUUCCUCAAGGCGCGACCAACUCAAUUGCGCAUAUGAUGAAUGGGAUGAAUAAGGUAUUGAGAGAUUUUAUUCCGGAAAAGACUAUGCCUUUUCUGGAUGAUGUUCCUAUAAAAGGGUGCAGAGAAGGAGACAAGGAUGAAACUUUAGAUACGAGGGGGUGUCGCAAAUAUGUUGUUGAUCAUAUACAAGAUUGUGAAAAGAUUUUAACUCGGCUUGGAGAAGUUCAUCUUACAUUAUCGGGUAUGAAGUCUGUAUUUGGAGUACGAGAGGUUGUGAUUGUUGGACAUUUAUGUGGAUCUUACCGAAGAAAACCAGAUCCGACUAAAGUUGAUGCAAUUGAAAGGAUGAAAGAGGAUUGUGAUUCUUUAACAGAGGUUCGCAGGUUUUUGGGUGCAUGUGUAUUUUAUCGAAUCUGGAUCCCUCAUUUUGCUCACAUAGCAGAUCCAUUAUAUGAACUGUUACGCAAGGGUUACCGAUUUGAAUGGAAAGAAAGGCAUAUUCAGGCAAUGCAAAGAUUGAAGAAAUUAUUGAUGUCACCUCCAAUAUUGAGGAAGGUUGAUUAUAAGUGCAAUAGACCAGUGAUUCUUACUAUAGACGCUAGUCUAAUUGCCGUUGGAUGGGCGGUGGGUCAAGAUGAUUCGAAUGGGAGUAGAUUUGCAGUUCGAUUUGGGGCUAAAGUUUUAAAUAUUCGUCAGCGUGCAUAUUCACAAGUCAAAAGAGAACUUUGGGGAGUCGUUUCGGCUAUGAAAGCUGAAAAGGACUAUUUGAUUGGGGCAGUAGUAGUAAUUGAAAUAGAUUGCUUGCCAUUGCUUGGAAUGAUUAUUAACUGCUCAACGCCAGAUAUUGCGAUGUUGAGAUGGAUUGCUUAUAUUAAGUCAUUAAAUCCAGAAUUUAAGCAUAUCACUGGGAAAGACAAUUUAGUAGCAGACAUGCUAGCUCGAGCAAGAUACGAGAGGGAGGACGAAAUGGUUGAAGACAUUGAUGAUGUUGGAUUGAAAUUCUAUUCAAUAUCAAAUCUCAACAAAGAAGACAAGUUAUUUCUUGAAGAAUCUUAUGAAGGAGAAUUAUUGGAUAUUGGUCAUUAUUUGAAUACCUUGACUAAGCAGGGGAAUUGGUCUACAGAAAAAUUCAAACAAAUAAGAAAAAAAGCAUAUGGAUUUUUACUUCAAGAUGGAUUCUUAUGGAAGAGACCAAAGAAAGGAAUUGGGAUGCCACAACGAGUGAUAGGCAAAAGGGAAGAAAAACUAAAAUUAUUGAAGGAGUUUCAUGAUAGUUUAUGGGCAGGGCAUAGAGGAAUCUGGGCUACUUUUGCUAAACUCAAGGAACGAUAUUGGUGGAAAAAUAUGUAUCGAGAUGUGCUCUCAUUUGUAGAGUCAUGUGAAAUCUGUCAAUCGUAUUCUAAUAUCCGACAUCGAGACGGUCUUCAUCCUACGUAUCCUUUGGCUAUUCAUUUUAAAUGGGUUGUUGAUUUGGUUAUUAUGCCGGUUGGGUUAUGGCAGAUGAGAUAUUUGGUUUUAGCUCGUGAAGAUUUAUCAAAUCAAGUAGAAGCAAGAGCAUUGAGGACAAAAUCUACAGAGGAGAUUUGUAGGUUUUUGCUUGAAGAUGUCAUUUGCCAUUACGGGUGCGUAGGAAAAAUCACUGCAGAUCGUGGAGAAUUAAAUGCACAAGAAUCUCGUAAGUUCUUUGAAAGAUGUGGAGUUAAACUAUCACUGACUAUUGCUUAUAAUCUAGAAAAGAAUGCAAAAAGCAAACGUGGUCACCCACCGAUUGUGAAAGCAUUGGUUAAAGCUUGUAAUGGGAAAGUUAAAGAGUGGCCACGGCUUUUGUCAUUUGCAUUAUGGGCUGAUCGAACAACACAUAGUUCGGUGACAGGAUAUAUGCCAGUAGAACUUAUAACAAGUCAAAAACCAAUUAUACCGAUUGAAGAAAAGGUACUUACUUGGAGUAUGCUACCACGGGAAGAUGGAUUAACAAGAGAAGAACUUCUGGCUAUUAGGAUUCGACAAUUGGAGCAAAGAACGGAAGAUGUCCAGAUAGCAUUGGGAAGGUUAAAAAGAGCAAGGUUACAAAACAAGGCACGAUUCGAUAAGCAACAUCGAUUGAGACCAAAAGCAAUCGAGGAAGGUGACUGGGUACUUGUUUAUGACAAUAGUGUGGAUAAUCAACAUAGUACUUUGCGGAAAUUCUCAAAACGUUGGUUUGGACCAUACGGGUAACAAUUGUUCAUGAUAAUGCGACUUACUCAUUACGGGAGUUAGAUGGUACAAAAUUGAAAAUACCAAUUGCAGGGAAGCGAGUAAAAAUAUUUAAACAAAGACACACAGAGAUGAAUAUGGAAGACCUUAAUGAAGGUAUAGAGAUUCCGUAGCAAGAAGAUGAAAGUGAUUUGGAUAAUGAAGGUGACGAAGACGAACUGGACAAAUACGUAGAGGAUAUAUUCUGAAUCAAACAGCAAUUGGGUAAAUUGGUGCAUACCGGAAGAUGCACAGGUUCAAAGGGCGUGGAUGUCGUGUUGUAACACGAGUAUACAGUGAAAAUAAAAAGAAAGGGGAAUUUUAUUAAUAUUCAGUUACCUCGAAUAUUGGGAGCAACGACCAACUCCUGUACAAAUACUGAGUGGCCAGGUUCAGUCACUCCGUUAUAGUCAUUCGGGGCAUACUGAAAUGCUCCAUUCAAUUCCAAUAACGGGAGUCAGCAGGAAGAGAAGGACCAAUUCACACGACGGGUUCGAAGAGCCAAUUGGAUCCAAUUUUGAGAAUCCAAUCCGGGUCCUCUUACCCAAUAUGAGACCUGAAUUGGCCAGGCAACCCAAUGCAGACCCAAUUAUGGGGACAUCCAGGUUAUUACAGGCAUCUUACCCAAUAUGGGACCUGAAUUGAUCGGGCGACUCAAUGUGGUCCCGAUUACGGGUUUCGAUUCUGUUUCAGGCUGUCUUGUUCUCUGUGCCAUUUCAAGGAACGUUGUUUUUGGUAAAUGGAUUUCUUAAAGGUAAAAAUGGAGGAGAAAGCUCUGACGGCGAGAGCCAAUUUUGGAUCCAAGCUUGACGGUGGAAGCCAAUUCCGGAUCUAAGAUGGAAGAUAUAAGAAAUUCAGAGGAUAAAGUUAGGGGAAGAAUAAGUUUGAAGGGGGUUUUUUUUUUUUUUUUUUUUCUCUCGGGGAAUCGGGGGGAGCUAGUUUUCAAGCUUUUGCAAGGUUACUAGUUUGGUUUUCAUUGGAGGUUUUUGAAGAUCAAGGGGAUUAGAGAAGAGGAGCUUCAUGCUUCGGGUCGGGAAAGGAAAGACAUAGAAUUUGGAUUUUUCUUCUUCGUAGAGUUUUGGGAAGACUGAGGCAAUCGCUGCUGAAGUUAGUAUUGUAAUGGUGAAUCGAGAUUUUUAAUGAAGUGGGUUUGAAUACUCUUGACUGUUUUGUAAAAUCGAGUUACGUCUGUGAUUGAAGGAUUAAAAGGGUGUCUAUAGGAUUGAGUAUGCGGAGUGAAUGAAAUUUAUUGGGUUAAUCUAACAAGACAGUCAGUGGAUACAAGAUCGUAAGUACAAAGCGAUAUUGAAGAUUAACAGUUUGGGUUGUUCGGGGUUCUCUGUAACGUCUAGAGACCUACCGGCUGGGGUAAAAAGGACUUCGACAAGCAGUCAAAGAGCAUCCGUAUAGAUUUACGAUACAUUGUUGUAGUCAUUUAUAUUCCAGCAGUCAAAACUGAUAGACUGCUUGACUAUCGACGAAUCUCCAUACUACCUUCUACAGCCAGACGCCCGGCGCGUUCUCGAGCAAGAAAGCACGUAAUAUGACAACGUAGCGAGGGCAUUCAUGAUGGCAUCUAACUUGGACUCCGAACUUUUUCUCAUAUUAAUGUCUUGGCCUCCUGCCAUUCAAAGAGAAGGACAAAAAUGACUCUACAAGAAGACAAUAUUGGUUUACAGGAGGGUACUCCGCAACCUCUAAAAUGCCUUAAGAGCUUCAAGAAAAGGGGUAAUUCACUCUCUCCAAGAAGAAUAAGACUCCAAUAUUAUAACAAAAGAAAUAUCAGUUUAGAGGAGGGUAAUCCGUAACCUCUAAAAUACUAGUACACUUCCAAGCAGAGGGAUAAUCCGCACUCUAACGAGGAAGAUACUAACUGAGAUAUCUGAGGUGAGUGAACUCUCGACAGACUGUCACGGACACAGAAAUAUAGACUUGAGAUCUAACAAGAAGUUCAAGAAGAACUGGCAAGAACUAGAUUAAUCAGAUGAAUACAAGAACAACACCAGAGAGGUGAGCUAGAGCUCCAAGAGAUGUGUUGUCGAGACUGAAGAACUCUUGAGCCUCGAUUUUAAUAUAUACUACUAUUUAGGAAGCUUUUCAAGCAACUUCUACUAACUAUGAAGCUUCUAGAAGAUUUCAGAGACUUGCUUCUAGAAGGUUCCUGAGACUUGCUUCUAGAAGGUUCUAGAAACUUGUCUCUAGAAGGUUCUAAGGACUAUGUCUCUAACAGCUUCUACUAAUUAAGAAGCUUCUAGAAGGUUCCAGAGACUUACUUCUAGAAGGUUCUAGAACUUGUCUCUAGAAGGUUCUAAAGACUAUGUCCCUAACACUUUGGUAGAAGUAUAGAAACUAGUGAAUCUUGAGCUUCUGCCAUUUCUACAAUGCAAAAAAAAAAAAUGCCUAGAGAAGCGUUAUUGAAGACUGCAGCUACAAUACGAGGUGCAACACAUUGGAAAGAUCCUAUUGAGUCUCUUUCAAUUCAUGCAUAUAUUGCUAAGAACCAACAUUAAGCUUUGAUGGAAGAAAAGAGACGAGGAUAUUUUGAUGAUAUAAGAAAAGGAAAUUUUUCUAAGAGGAAAACUCGAGGAGACGAGGCUCGUGAGGUGGUUUCACAAGAAUUGCCUAUAAAGGAUACUUCAGCAUCAUUUGAAGAAAAAAUAAAGGAGACUAAAGAUAAGGGUAGACCAAUUGCUUAUAAGCUACUUUCUGAUAUUGAAGUGGCAACAAAUUUAAAAGGGGUGCUGGAAGACCGUAUAUUAAAUGCUAAGGUGGAAUCCACAUUGAAAGAAAUUUUUGGAAUUACAAAGAAGGAGUUUCAUGAUGUUAUCAUUGACAGUAUUUAGCAAAAGAGGUAAUUAAUGGACAAAGCUAGAAUGAGACAUGCUUUUGAUGUAUGAUUAUAUAAAGAUGAAGAAGAGGUUGAUAAUGGUUACAAGCAAUCAACAAAUGAAAAGAAUGGGUAUAAUCAACGAGUAAGUUUUGAAGAUUAUAGUGAUAAAGAAAUAGAAGCUUCAAGCCAUUAUACUUAAAAGCAUUGGACAAGAGCAAUUACUGAAGUAUUGGUGAAAGUAGGAGAUGUAGAAGAACCAAUUGUUGCUUUAGUUGACCAUGGUUCUGAAAUAAAUCUUAUGUCUAAGGAUCUUUAUAAGAAGCGGAAAUGGCCAAUUGAUAUGGAACAUGGAUGGACAAUACGAGCAGCUAAUAAUAUGCGAGGCAAAUUAUAUGAAGCUUGUCCAGAUGUCAAAAUUCGGAUUGGAGAUGUUGCGACAGAACAACAUUUCUUUGUUCAAGAUACGUCUUAUCGAUUGAUUUUAGGAUAACCUUAUAUUACGGCAAUACGGAUGGAAACAAAAGUACUUGACGAUGGUUGUGCUUAUGUAAAGGUACGUAGUGAAGAUGGAAGAAAAUCUGUACAAUUUCUAAUAGUACCUCCUAAUCAUGGACAAAAUCAAGAUAGGUUGAAGGAAAAACCAUUGCCAAGGCUUGUUGAAGAAUUUAAGGAUUUUGAGGAAGUACCACUACAAAGAGGGAUUAUGGAGGUACAAAAGAGGAGGUACUCUCAAGAGAUGAAGGUAUCUUUGAUGCAAAUUUUAUUGAUAUUUUUUAGAAUAGAAAUAUUAUAUAUAAGAAAUUAGAUGAUUUUAAAAGAAAAGAAAGAAAAAGAUUAUAUAGUAUUGAAAGGGAACUACGUAAGUUAAGGGCAUUAGAAUAUGAUGAGAAGAUUUUAGAUAUUUAUGAAGAAAAUGGAUUGGAAGAUUCUUUGGAAUUAAUUACAUCUAUUGGAUUAGGGGAUAAUGAUAAGAUUUUUGAAAUUCAUUCGAGGGAGGUUUAUACUAUAUUUGAAUCUUUUUAAGCACCAGAAGUUAUUGUAGAGACAAAAUAUAAAACAGUAGAUAAAAAGGUAAAACCUGUUGUCGGACCUUUACUAGAAGAUUCUAAAGAACAAAUGGAAGAAGCAUUAAAAGAAGAGAGUUUAAGAGAUCUAAAGAAGAUUGGACAUUAGUUUAUAAAAGAGACUUUUGAAGGAUUGAAGAUUGGAUGCGAUGGUUCUUUAUUUCCAAUAGAAAUUGAAUAUUUGAAAAAAAUACUUACAAAAUAAGGUAAAUCAUAUGUCUUUCGAUCUCGUGAAAUAGGAUGUGUAGAUCCUAAUGUUGUUGCUCCUAUAGUUAUCUUUACAGUACCUCAUGUACCUUGGAACUUAAGGCCAAUUCUUGUGUCGAGGGCACAUUAACCUGAAUUGGUGGAAUUAUUGAAAGAAAAGAUGCAAAUAAAAAUUUUGGAGCCUUUUUUUGCUCUAUAUUCUAGUCGUUGGUUUACGGUGCCUAAGAAAAAUGGAUCGUUAAAUUUUAUUUGAAAUAUGCAACCAAUGAAUGCAGUAAUUAUAAAAAAUGCAGGUAAACGACCUUAAAUAGAUGAGUUUACAGAAGCGUUUAUGGGAAGGAUAAUUUAUUCAAUGGAUGAUUUAUAUUUGGAUUAUCAUAAAUUUUAACUUGCACAUGAGAGUAGAGAUCUAAGAUCAAUGAGAACUCCACUAGGAUUAUUUAAAAUGUGUACUCUGCUACAAGGUGCUACUAAUUGAGUUGCACAUAUGAUGAAUGGGAUGAACAAGAUACUAAGAGACUUCAUUCCUAAAAAAACUAUACCUUUUUUAGAUGAUAUUCCUAUCAAGAUGUAAAGAAGGAAAAAAAGAUGAAACUUUAGAUGAGAGGAGAUGUCGCAAAUAUGUUGUUGAUCAUAUACAAGAUUGUGAAAAGAUUUUAACUCGACUUGAAGAGGUUCAUCUUGAUUUUUCAGGAGUAAAAUCUACGUUUGGAGUACAGGAAGUUCUUAUUAUUGGGCAUUUGUGUGGAUUUUAUGGGAGAAAGCUAGAUGCAAGCAAAGUUGAUGCAAUUGGAAGGAUGAAAAAUUUAUGUGACUCUUUAAUAGAAGUAUGCAGAUUUUUAGGAGCUUGUUUAUUUUAUUGUAUAUGGAUUCCUCAUUAUAUUUAUAUAGCAAAUCCAUUGUAUGAAUUAUUACUUAAGGAUUAUCGAUUUAAAUGGAAAAGAAAGCAUACUGAAGCAAUGCAGAAGCUAAAGGUAUUAUUGGUGAUACCUCCAAUUUUAAGAAGAAUUGAUUAUAAUUGUAAUAGAUAAGUAAUUCUUUUUAUGGAUACUAGUCCUAAUGCUAUUAAAUGGACUGAGGGUCAAGAUGAUUCAAGUGGAAAUAGAUUUGCACUUCGAUUUCGAGCUAAAGUUUUAAGUACUCAUCAAUGUACAUAUUUGCAAGUCAAAAGAAAACUUUGGGGAGUUGUUUCAGCUAUAAAAGCUAAAAUGGAUUAUUUGAUUGGUAUAGCAAUAGUAAUUGAAACGGAUUGCUUGCCAUUACUUAGAAUGAUUACUUAUUGUUCAAUGUCGGAUAUUACAAUGUUAAGAUGGAUUUCUUAUAUUAAGUCAUUAAAUCCAAAAUUUAAGCAUGUUGCUAGAAAAGACAAUUUAGUAGUAGACAUGCUAUCUCGAGCAAGAUAUGAAAGAGAAGACGAAAUGGUUGAAGACAUUGAUGAUGUUGGAUCAAAAUUCUAUUCAAUAUCAAAUCUUAACAAAGAAAAGCUAUUUCUUGAAGAAUUUUAUGAAGGAGAAUUAUUAGAUAUUGGUCAUUACUUGAAUACCUUGACUAAGCAAGAAAAUUGGUCUACAGAAAAAUUUAAACAAAUAAGAAAAAAUGCAUAUGGAUUUUUGCUUCAAGAAGGAUUCUUAUGGAAGAGAUCAAAGAAAGGAAUUGGAAUGCCACAAAGAGUGAUAGGAAAUAAGGAAGAGAAACAAAAAUUAUUAAAGGGGUUUCAUGAUAGUUUAUGGGUAGGACAUAGAAGAAUUUGGGCUAUUUUUGCUAAACUUAAGGAACGAUAUUGGUGGAAAAAUAUGUAUCGAGAUGUGCUCUUAUUUGUAGAGUCGUGUGAAAUUUGUCAAACAUAUUCUAAUAUAUGACAUCGAGAUGGUCUUCAUUCUAUAUAUCUUCUAGCUAUUCAUUUUAAAUGGAUUGUUGAUUUGGUUAUUAUUCCAAUCAGGUUAUGGAAAAUGAGAUAUUUAAUCUUAGUUUGUAAAGAUUUAUCAAAUCAAGUAGAAGGAAGAGCAUUGAGAAUAAAAUCUACGAAAGAAAUUUGUAGAUUUUUGGUUGAAGAUGUUAUUUGUCGCUUCGGAUGUAUAGAAAAAAUCACUGCAGAUCGUGGAGAAUUAAAUGCACAAGAAGCUCAUGAAUUCUUUGAAAGAUGUAGAAUUAAACUAUCACUGACUACUGCUUAUAAUCCUAAAGGAAAUACAAAAAGUAAGCUUGGUCACCUACCAAUUGUGAAAGCAUUAGUUAAAGCUUGUAAUGGGAAGGUUAGAGAAUGGCCACAACUCUUGUCAUUUUUAUUAUGGACUAAUUGAACAACUCAUAGCUCAGUAAUGGGAUAUAUGCCUAUUGAGCUUAUGUCAGGUCAAAAACCAAUCAUGCUAAUUGAAGAAAAAGUACCUACAUGGAGUGUGCUACCAUGGGAAGAUAGAUUGAUAAGAGAAGAACUUCUAGCUAUUAGAAUUCAAUAAUUAGAACAAAUAUCAGAAGAUGUGCAAAUAACAUUAGAAAGGUUAAAAAGAGGUUACAAAACAAGGCAUGAUUUGAUAAACAGCAUUGAUUGAGGCCUAAAGUAAUUGAAGGUGAUUGGAUUUUGGUCUAUGAUAGUAGCUUAGAAAAUCAACAUAGUAUUUUAAGGGAGUUUUCUAAGCGAUGGUUUGGACCGUAUGUAGUUAUAACUAUUCAAUACAACUUAUUCAUUGUGGGAGUUAGAUGGAACAAGGUUAAAAAUAUCAAUUGCAAGGAAACGAGUAAAAAUAUUUAAACAAAGAUACACAAAAAUAAAUAUAGAAGACCUUGGUAAAGACAUAGAUAUUCCUCAACAAGAAGAGAAAUUUGACUUAGAUAGCAAAAGUGAACAAGAUGUUUUGGACAAAGACUUGGAGAACAUAUUAUAAAUCAAACAACAACUAGGUUUUUUGGUGUAUACCAAAGGAUGCAUAGGUUCAAAGGGGGUGGAAGUCGUAUUGUAACAUGACUAUAUGGUGAAAAUAUAAAUGAAAAAGAUUUAUUAAUAUUUAGUCAUCUUGGAUGUUAGAAACAGUGGCCAAUUCUAGUGCCAAUAUUCAGGGGCCAAUUAAUGUCACCCCAUUGCAAGCUGUACCACCAAACGUGACAACAAUGUAUGCUCCACCGGCGUCAUCAAACCAAGUACCCUCCGUACCAACGGGACGACCAAGAUCAUUUUCUAAUCCUACGUAGAACAAGCCUAGUAGGUAUAAACCAGUGGAGACAUCCAAUAUGACUGAUGGGGGUUCAAGAAGACCACUUCAUUGUUUUUAUUGUAGACAAAUUGGUCAUUAUGCUAGUGAAUGUUCCAAUCCCAGAGCCAGUGAUAAUUACGUGUUGUCGUAAUACGUGAAGUCUUGCUUGAGAAUACUCUAGGCACCUGGUUGUGGAAGGAAGAAUGGAAAUUGUAAUAGCAAAAUUCUAAUUCUAAUAGAAUACUAACAAUGCUCUAAUUAGACCAUAAUAAUACUAAGCAAGCUUAAUCAAAUUCAAAAAAACCUCAAAGAAAUUUCAAACAAACAAUAAGAAUUCUUAAAGAAAUAUUAGAAGGAUCACAAAUAUCACUCAAAUAUAUCUCAAUUCAAUCUUAAUUUAAUUCUAGUUAAAAUCCUAUUGAACUUCAUUAAAACUUUAGGCCAAAACUAAUUGAAUCUUAAAUCCUAAUAAAAUCCUAAAUCCUAAAUCAAAUCCUAAACAAAUCUUAAAUCAAAUCCCAACCAAAUCUUAAACCAAAUCCUAAACCCUAAAUAAAAUCCUAACUAAAUCUUAAACCAAACCCUAAUCCAAAUCCUAAUCAAAUCCUAAACCAAACCCUAAACUUUAAAUAAAAUCCUAACUAAAUCCUAAAUCCUAAAUAAAAUCCUAACUAAAUCCUAAACCAAAUCCUAAUUCAAAUCCUAAAUCCUAAAUCAAACCCUAAUCAAAUCCUAAAUCCUAAAACAAACCCUAAUCAAAUCCUAAUCCUAAACCAAAUCCUAAUCCAAAUCCUAAUCAAUCCUUAAACCAAAUCCUAACCAAACCCUAACCAAACCCUACACCAAAUCCUAGUAAUUACUAUAACAGAUUUAAACCUCAAUAACUAAUUAAUCAACCGUUGAUCUUAACUCAAAUUUUUCACACUUCUUAAAAACUAAGUUCAAAACAAGCAUAAAAAAAUUGAAAAGGAUCGGAGUUACCAAAUUAAUGAUAUCCUAAAAAAUGUGCUCGGGUAUUGGCCGGCCUCCUUCUCCAAUCUUGAUGUCAAUUUUCUAGAGCCAAUAUCUCUCCUUUACACCGUUCGAUUCAUCUCAAAAUUCUCAUAAAUAUAGAAAAAAGAGUCUAAUACCCUCUCACAUAAGUUUCACUCCAAUAAAACUAGUAGAUUUUACGAAAUCUUAAAAAACCCUACUAGACCUAAAAUUCUACUUUCUAAGACCUUGAUCGACUUAAACCUCAAUAUUCCUCAAUUCAACCGUUAGAUCAAGCUCAAAUUCACAAUUUAUAUUAAAAACAAAUAUAAUCAUAAACCCACGAAAUUCCACCCGUAGAUCUACUACAAAACUCUUGAAAUCACCCAAAACAUAAAUCCUAUUUUAUUUCAUAAAACCCAAAUCAUCUGAAACAAACCUUGAUUUUGCAAAGCUAUUACAAAGUCAAUACAGAUCCAAAUCACCCAAAAUCAACACCCAUAAAAACCCUAUUCAAUGUUCUAUCAAACCACACUCUUUGAUCUGCCAAAGAUUCCUUGAGUUGCCGUCAGAGCACGGUUUUGUGCCCUAGGGUCUGAUUUCGACCUAGGUUCAUAACCGGUCCUCUUCGGGUAUCAACUUUCGUCUUCUUGAGGUAGUUUUUACUGAUUUGCACUUCUAACUUCUUCCUACAUAUGCCUAUAUUCUUUAUUUUUCUAAUCUACCUUAUUUUGCCUUAUUUAUGGCCUUACAAAGUAAAUAGAAGCAUAGUUUGUAAAUAGGCAGUAUUAGCACCUUUAAUUAUUCUAUCCUUUGACUAAUAUCUAUUUUUUCAAGAUAAUUUGCUACAAAAUUUUUGAAGUGAGAUCCUCAAAACAUGAUAUUUUCUUCACCUUUUUACUUGUUAUACAUGUUAUAUCACGAAAAGCGCCAGUGUGUGGGAAUAGUAAGCAGUCAGGGCAUACUUAUUAGUAAUGUAAUGCUCCGUUCAAUUUCAAUAAUUGGGAUCAGCAGAUCCAAAGCCAAGGAAAAAUUUAGGAGAUCAAUCAAGCUCCUCAAGAUUCUCCGAUAAAUCAAGUGGAAUGUAUCUAAGCCAUUCUUACCAAGAGUCGGCAAAAGAAAAAAUGACCAAUUCAACAUUUGGGUGAUCUUGAUGUGAAGAGCCAAUUUGACCCAAUUAUGGAGACAUCUAAUUCUGGUCCUGUUACAGGCUUCUUACUCAGUAUGAGACCUGACUUGUUUGGACAACCCAAUGAGAUUCCAAAUAUGGAGGCUUCGGUUCCAUUUCAAGCUGUUCUGUUCUCUAUGCCAUUUUGGGGAAAACAUCCUUUCCAUGGAAAUAUCCUCUUAGAGGCGGGAAUUCCAUGGAAGCACAGCUUGUUGUUCCAAUUUCGAGUCCAGGGCGGAAGAAUUGGAGACCUUAUGGAAUUAAAGAAAAAGAAAGAAAAAAAAAGAGGGCAUUUGGAGAUCGAGAUUUUUGGGGUCGGAGAGCUAGCUUCAAGCUCCUUCGAAAGGUGUAAGACUUAGUUUCAUAGGAUUUGGGAGGAUUUUGCAAUCGUUGCUCAAAGCCAGUGUUUGUAUUGGUGAAUUGGAUGCAUAGGGUUUGGGAGGACUUACAACCCUUGCUAAAAGUCAGUGUUUGUAUUGGUGAAUUGGAUUUUUGUAAUAAAGUAAUGGCUAGUACUCUUGACUGUUUUAUGAAAUUAAAGAGACAUCUAUGGUUGAAAUUAUAGAAGUGUCUAGAUGAUUGAGUAUGCCAAGUGCAUGCAAAAAUUUGUGUUAAUCUAACGGUAUAGAUAGAGGAUAUUUGAUCAUUAGUGUAAAGAGGUAUUAGAAGUUAGCAUAUUGAAGUUGUUUAGGAUUUUUAUAAUAUCUAGAGAUCUAUCAGCUGGAAUAAGGUGAAUUUUGACGCAAUAAGUCAAGGACUUAAAGGCGGAGCUACACACAAAGUUUGAAUGAGAAUUAACGAUUAAAAAAGGAAAAAUUACAAGUUACAGUUUGUCAUCAACUUUUAGGCGGCGGUCAAGGGACAUUAGUGUGGAUUUACGGUAUUUUCUUGCAAUCUAUAAGUUGGAUUGGAUUGAACUUCUUGAUCAUUUAGAAGACUUGUAAAGACACUAGUGGUAGAAGUUUCACAACAAUUGGACAAUCAGAUUGAGAAUUACAGCUUACCGAAGCUCACUCUGUAGGAUUAGGGUUUAAAAAAUAAAUAAAAAAUAAAUAAAUAAAUAAAUAUAAUAAAAAUAAAACUAAUAAAUAAUAGAAAAAAUUAUGCUUAUUAUAUCUCGAAGUUAUUAAAAAUAUUGUUUCUAAGCACUUUAUAUUGGGAGUAAGCUUUUAUAUUGAAAUCCGAAAUAGUUUGUAUUUAGAUGGUUAAAACCUACUAGACUACUCGGAUACUUACAAAACAUCAUUUUAUCUUCUAUAGCCAAAUGUCUGGUGCGUUCUCAAGCAAGAUAAUAAGUAAUAUGACACCGUGAAGUAUGGAUUUCGAUUUGAAAUGAUGAUAUAAGGUAAUCCAUGGUAAAAAAAGAUAAUAUUGAAGAAGAUCCAUGCAAAAGCUAGGGCAUCAAUUUUUGAAUGUACCAUGGCUUAAUGAAGUUGCUUCAAGAAUUGAUCUACAAAGAUGGAAAUUAUCAUAUAAUUAUGAAGCAUGUACAACAAACAUAUAAUAAAAUCCAUAAUCACCAACUUUUAAAUGUUGUAGGUAGUGGAAUAGAUUGUAAUAAUCAAAAAGAUGCUACGUUCCAUGCUUUAAUAUGUUGACAUGACUUGAAAGAAUACACAAAAGCCUAAAUAUUACAAUUCAAACUUGUCUAAAAUCAUGACUUUGAGAUCCAUUUUAAUGUCUUCUCUUAUCCAUGAUGUCCAAAUAUUGGAAUAUGAUGUGCCUCUUGAAAUAUGCGUGUUUGGAAUAUAGCAUUAUUAGAUACAUAAAUCCACUUCUUGAAAUAAAACAAGCCAUCACUAAGACUAUAAUCUUGAUAUUGUGUAUUAUCCAUCUUUAGUCGAUUGCUAACUAUCUUGAAAUAAGUAUCUCAAUGCAUAGCUUUCUUCCAUUCUAUGUCUUUGAUUAGAUUUGAAAUAAUACUAUUAAUGGUAAUAACUUCUGUCUUAUUUUCUAAUUUAGCCUUCAAGUCUGGUCUUUGCAAUAAGUUGUCUAACACAAUAUAUUAUUUUUGUUGCUUAUAAUUAAGCUAUAUAUCAAAAAUCUGCAAUUAUUCUUUCCAUCUAUGAUGUGAUUUCAUAUUUUUUAGAUGCAAAUCAUAUAGCAAGGAUUGAUGGUCAGUUUGAACAAAUACUUGCUUCUCCAAUAAAUAGUAUUACCAUAUCUUUAUGGCAUGUACAAUCACUAAUUAUUCUUAAUCAAGUACAAAAUAAUUGUGCUAUUGUAUUGCAUACAGUCUUUUUUAAGAAUGACAUAUGUGGUUGUAGAAGAUAGAAUGGAAAUUUCUACAAUAAAAUCUUAAUUCUAAUAGAAUAUUAAAUAAAAUUUAAUUAAAUCUUAAUAACUCUAAAUAAGCUUUAAUUAAAUUCAAAAAGAAACCUUAAAGAAAUUACAAAAGAAACAAUAAGAAAUCCUUAAAAAAAUUGAAAGAAAAUCCACAAUAAACCUUAAAAGAAUUCUUAAAAAAUCCUAAAAAAUAUUAAAAUAAUCACAAAUAUAUCUUAAAUAAAUCUCAACCAAAUUCUAAUGUAAUUUUUAUUGAAACCUUAAUGGACUUCAAUCAAAUCCUAGACAAAUCCUAAAUCUUAUAUCAAAUCUUAGAUAAAUCUUAAAUCCUAAAUCAAACCUUAAAUCUUAAAUCAAACCUUAAACAAAUCCUAAAUCCUAAAUCAAAUCCUAAAAAAAUCCUAAAAUCUAAAAAAAAUUCUAAAAAAAAUUUAAAUCCUAAAUCAAAUCCUAAACCAAAUCCUAAUUCUAAACCAAAUUUUAACUAAACCUUAACAAACUCAAUCUAAUCCUAGUAUAGUUUAGAACCUCAAUAACUAUUAAUUAAAUCAUUGAUCUUACUUAAAUAUUUAUAUUAUUUUCAAAAACUAAGUUAACAACUAGCAUACACACUUAAAAAAUGGAAGAAAAAUCCUAAAAUCUACUUAGGUGUUGAUUGGCCUCCUAUUCCAAUGUGCAUAUUGAACUUCCAAUGCCAAUAUUUUUUUUUGAACUAUUUAAAUGUUUUUAAAUUUCAUAUAAAUAUAUAAAAAUCAAGUCUAUUAUCCUAUUAUAUAAAUUUUACUCCAAUCCAACUAGUAGAUUGCUAAAGAUCUUAAAAACCCUAACUACCUCUUAAAGUCCAAUUUUCGAGACCUCAACCUACUUGAAAUUCAAAAAACUUCAUGUCAACUAUUUGAUCAAGCUCAAACUCAUAAUAUAUACUUUAGAAAACUAUUCUCAUAAGUAUUUAAAAUUUAAACUAUAGAUCUAUUAACAAACUUAUGAAAAUUUUUAAAAUAUAAUAUCUUUUUUAUUUUAUAAAUUCCAAAGUUAUCCAAAACAACUAUGACUUUGCAAAGCUCUUGCAAAGUCAUUAUUCACUUAAAUCACUCAAAAUCAAUGUAUAAAAAAUCUCUUUCAAGUCUGCUCUUUAAUUUCACUCCUUGAUCUGUCAAAGAAUCCUUGAAUUACUAUAAGUGCCCAGUUUUGUGCCUUAGGAUCUGAUUUCGACCCAAAUUGAUAAUUGAUCCUCUUUAGGUAUCAAAUUUUUUCUUUUCAGUUAAUUUUUGCUAAAAUUAACUCCUAACUUCCUCCACAUUUUUUUAUAUUCUUUAUUUUUCUAAUCUACCUUGAUUUGUCUUAUUUAUGGCCUUACAAAGUAAGUAGAAUCCUUCUUUGCAAAAAAUUAGUAUUUACACUUUUAAUUUUACUUUCUUUUGGACUAUUUUUUAUUUUCUAAGAUAAUUUGCUACAAUAUUUGAAGUAAGUUCUUUUAUAAUAUAAUAAUUUUUUCAUCCUUUUCACCUAUUAGUUAUGUUAUAUUAUAACAAUGGAUGUAUAUAAACAAAGGUUUGAAGCUACUAUUUGGAUUUUGGUAAUAUUUUAAGAUUUGUAAAAAGUUUCAAAUUGAAAUUUUUUUUAAUAGAUGUUUAAAGUAUAUUAAUACUUCAUAUAAAAUUUGAAUUUUUUUGGAUAAUCUAAUUGUGAAAUAUCAGCUAUUGAAGUUUGGAAAAAAUUCCCCUUAAGGAUAUACAAGAUUUUAGAAUAUUUCUAUCACAUUUUGGAUAUUUUUUGGUACUUAGGACUUAUGUAUUAAUAUAAUUAUCUCUAUAGGGAUAAUUUUAUAUAUAAACUUGGUACUUUCUUUUCUUGAAAUUUAAUUAAAUAAUUAAUGAUAGUCAAAAGUCCAAUGUUAUCUUGAGGCAAACUCUCUCUACUUUAACAUCAUCAAUUGUAAUAAAGACAAAGUCAAAAUUUGAGUAUUUGAAAAAGAAUAUUUUUAUAAAUUAAUGAGUAUUUUUUAUAAUAAAAUAAUUUUAAGUAGUAAAAUAAAUAUCAAUGUUAAUUGAUUGUAAUAAAUGAACAUCAAUCUCUAAGCUUGUAGAAUAAGUAGUUAUUUUUAGAAUAUAGAUAUCUAGUGUAUAAUGUAAACAGGGAUAGAUAAUUGCUGAAAAGGUGGUUUAGUAGGUAGAAUGGAUGAAUAGUCAGGAAAAGUAGUUAUCAUCCAUAGUAUAGGAGUUGGUAUCUCGGGGUAGUAUAAGGAGGAUGGGAGAGAGGAAGAAAAUACCACACUGUGAUAGUUAUGAGAGAGGGACCAGAUUGCAAUAGUAAUGAGCCAGGAUAAGUUUGAUGCUAUCUCUUCUUCUUAGUUUUCUUGUUUCUUUUGUGUUAGUGUUGAUUCUAGUGAAGAGAAUUGAUUUAAUGAAUCAAUGUUUGAUUUAUGAAGUUGUUUAUGGAUCACUGUUUAUCAAUUGUUGUGAAAGAUUGAUGAUGUAUGGAAGUUUCGAGUCACUAUUUAUUGUAAGGUUGUGAGUUUAAUAGAAAGGAAUUGUAAUCGAAGGAAUUGUCUCAAUCAGAUUCUGUGGAUUGAAAGUAGUUCAUUUCAGGGUUUGGAUUAUGCUUGUGUGUUCGUGAAUUACACAGGGUACUGAAAUUGAUGUCGUGGUUGUUAUCGUAUUGAUAUGAGAGAAUGGACAGUAGGAGAAAAAGUUAAGUGUUCUUCGAUAUUCUAAGCAUUCAGUAGUAGCGGUUAAUUAUGUAACCCUAACAAUUGGAGCUCAUAUACAUGGUCUUUUUCUAGGUUCGAAUUCCCCUAUACGGGUUUAUUCUGGGAGGUUUCUUUCAGAAUAAGUAAAAUGACAAUCACAUUUUGGCACCAUUGUCGGGGAUUGACAAUAUUAUUGAGUGUUAGGAAUUAACUACCGAAGCAGUAAAAGAGAUUAAAAAACAAACUCAGUAGAAAUAAUAAAAGGGUAUGGUUAUUAAAAAUGAGAAUUUAACAGCAAAGAAAAUAAAGCAAUCAAAGGAAAGAACAAAGAGAUUGCAAGCAAGAAAUUUGUUGCAUAAUGAGCGAGAUCACAAAUUGAAAAAGAAGCAUCGACAAAGUUGGGUUAAGUUGUGGUUGCAUGCCUGUCGGCAUAUUCGAUCAUACUCAGAAGACGAUCGACCUCUAAUAUUUCAGAAGUACAUACUAUUAAAGAAAUUGCCAAUAGCACUCAUCGGGAGCAUUGCUAAUAGUCCAGCAUACCUCUCGAAGCCGUUAACAGAAAGCGAGGAAGGCACAGAGGAAUUAGGUACUCCAUUGGGUAUUUUCUCAAUUGGAGAUACGUCUGAUUUUAACAAGAUUGGUUCUGAAGAUUGGCAUAAAUCACUUGCCAAUAAAGACCAAUUUAGAGUAUAUAAAAAUCCAUUGUUUUCACCUCAUAUUCAACCAGUAAAAUUAUUUGGAGAUAAUAAUAGUCAAUCGGGAAGGCCUGGAAGUCCAAAAAAGACUUUUGCGGGAGAUAAUUUUAUUUUAAUAAGGAAUUGAGCAGAACACCGGCAUCUUUAAUAGCGUUCGGAGGAUCAGUAGUUUCAAUUACAGUCUAAAUGGAUGCAGUGGAAGAUCACACAACUAACGUGGCUCUAUUACCUACUUUUAGAGGUUUGCUAGAUGCGGAUCCAGAUCAACAUUUGUCUCAGUUUCUGACUAUAUGCGUAGCCAAUAAUGGCAGAAUUGAAGAUAUUUGGUCAAGAUGGCUGCCAAAAAUAUUAAAGGAUACAUCAUUUGAAUGGUAUAAUCGCUAGUCGGUCGGUCAAUUUUUUAGUUGGGAGGCAUUAAAAAAGACAUUUUUAACCCAUUUUUGAUCAAUUGAAUUUGAAGAGCGACUUAGGAAAAGAUUGAUAAAUAGCAAAAUGGUACCAAGAGAAGUGGUAUAAUCAUAUUAUGGCUGAGUAGCAGAUAUUCUUAGUAAAUGGCCAAAUAACCAAAUGUCUGAUUUGUUUAUUUUGUCCAUAUUAGUUAACGGACUUUACUCAUGAGAAUUAAAGUUAUUCGUGAAGGAGGCCCAAUCGACCAUUGUUGCUUCCUCACUAGCACGAGCAAAGGUGUGGGAAGAAUGUCACUAUGACCAAUUCUUAGCCAUUGGAGCUACAAUGAUUCCAUCUCAAGCAGGUUACUUAAUACCAAUUUGGAGUGAAACUAGGAACAAUUACCCAAGAAUGCUGGAUUACGGUGCAAACCUUAGUGUUAAUUCACAAAGAGCAGUGAAUGCUAUUCCAUUGCAGAACAUACCACCAACAAGUGUAGUGUCGUAUUUUCCAUACUUCCCAUAUCAAAAAGUAGUACCUGCAAAAGAAUUAUCAAGUCAAACUGGACCAAAGGAUCUAAUUGAGCCUUUGUUGAUAACUUUGACAAUGAAAAUGGAAGAACUGACUGUCAACUUAGCAAAAGACAAGGAAAAGAGGCAUAAACCACCCAAUAUGCAUCCCAAUAUCAGGUGCAGUAAUUGUAAGGGGCAAGGUCAUUUAGUAACAAAAUGUCCUUCACGACCUCAAAUGACUAUACAAUGUACCUUUUGCGUGGGCAAGCAUAUUACCACCAAUUGUUAGAAUUUACGAAAGCAACAACAACUCAAUGAUCAGAUAAGGAUCUAACCGACUUCGUGGGAUAUUAACCAAAUUCAAACAAAAAAUAGGUUUGGCUGGAACGGGAAUCGUUCCAAUAAGCCGAAUAGAAAUUUUUCUAAAUUUCAAAAUUCGAUAUACAAUCAGGAAUACGGAACUAAUGCUCAAGAAAUGGUACAAAACCAGCAAGGAUAUUUUCAAUAUCAACCCUUUUAGAAAUCAAAUUCGGAUUUUGUAGUACCAAUUGGAUAAUCGAGAUCAUUUACCCAUUUGACCUGAAAUAGGUCGAGCUAGUACAUCCCAGUGGAUACCCCCAAUAUUCUUGACGGUGUUGAAAGGAGACCACUUUGUUGCUAUAAUUGCAAACAAAUCGGACAUUAUGCGAGUGAAUGUGCUAAUCCAAGGGCCAGUGAUGACUAUGCUCAAAUAUGUGGAAAUUGUAAGCAGUCUGGUCACACGAAUCAGCAGUGCAAUGCGCCCUUUAAUUAUAAUAAUCGGGACCAGUAAAUAUAAACAAGUCAACUGGCGGAGGACAAAAGUCAUGUUCAACGGGACUCACCAAUACAUCUUGUCGAGGUAGUGAACAUAGAGCUUAUCAGAGGCCAACAAAAAGACAAGAAUCCAAUUCAGGACUUGGAUGAAUUAAUCACAGGAGAGCAAGUAGCGCUGUCUACAAACUAAACAAACCAAUAUCAGUAUUGGGACAUAUUCCAAUAAUGAGACCUCAACAGACUGAGGAAUCCAAUUCGGUUCUAUGUGCCAACUUGCCGAGACCAUCAAGAUCGAUUCCAACUGACCAAGUAUCAAUACCUGUACAGCCCAAUAAAAGAUCUUAUGUAUUAAAAGAAUCUUUAGUGAUAGAAAAGUUGGCAAAGUUAUCAAUGGUAAUCUCAAUUGCCAGGAAGAAAUUAUUGCCAAAUGGAAUAAAAUCAAAACCAAUGAAACGCAAAAGAGCUUUGAGAAUUACUCUCAAUAUCGAACUCUACGACAUUUUGAAGGAUUUGGAUGUUAUUCAGCCUUCAAUUACAAUGAAGCAACUUUUGGCUAUAGCACCGGAAUGUCGAUCUACAUUGAAUUCAGCGUUAAUACGAUGAAGAUCCCACACAAAAGACAUUCAUGAAGUUAGCUUAAACCCAAAUCUGGGAGCACCAACAAACAAUGUAUCAAUCGCUGGCAUUUUAAUUCCAAUGAUACAAGUCGAUAGUAGCUCCAGUGUGAAUUUAAUGAACGUGGAUACAAUGGAGGACUUGGACCUAAAGCAAUUGCUACUUACGACAUUGGUCUUGCAAAUGGCUGUCACGGACACAGAAUACAGACUUAAAAUCUAACAAGAAAUUCAAGAAGAAGUGGCAGAACUAGAUUAAACAGAUGAGUACAAGAACAACACCAGAAAGGUGAGCUAGAAUUCCAAGAGAUCUGUUGUCGAGACUGAAGAACCCUUCAGCCUCGGCUCCUAUAUAUACUACUGAAUAGGAAGCUUCUCGAGCUACUUCCGCUAACUAGGACGCUUCUCCAACAACUUCUACUAAUUAGGAAACUUCUCGAGCAACUUCCUAGAAUCUAUCAGAAUAUUCUAGAAUCUUCUAAGAAUAUUCUAGAACCUUCUAAGAGAAUCUUUAGGGAAUAUUCUAAGAAUCUUCUAUAACCUUCUAAAGGAAUCUUUAGAUAAUCUUUAGAGAAUAUUCUAGAAGAAUAUUCGAAGAAUCUUCCAAUGUAUGUCCAUGACAUCACCUCCUCUUCUAACUUCGAGGUCUCCGAGAAGCAAUGUUGUUAUCAGUCAAUACCAACGCAAGAAAAUGAAAAUCUGUCGCAUCACAUCCGCUAUGAAUUCUAAUUGUUGUUCGCGAGGCAAAUGAUUCAUCGGCCCUUGGAGCCAACGGUAGUGACCAACACCUUCAACCUCUGACUAAGCGUGGACUUCUGUGUCUUCAUUGUGAAACUGUCCUCCAAACACACCUUCUGGCUGACCGUCGUAGGCAGACUCGACCUCAAAUACAAUUACUAGCGAUCUGUUGCUCGGUAUCCUCCGACGUCGUCGUGGUACAGGCGGUUCUUCAUCUCGCGGUCGUCUUCGUGAGCUAGUCGCUUGAGAUGACAUAACAAGUGUAGUAUCUUGACUAUCCAUGUCCAAAGGCUAAAAUGAUGAGAGCAAACUAUAGUUGCUAACAAAGUUCUACACUAUCGAACUAUGGGUUUUGGAAGUGCCCUCCCCCCUUUUUAUGCUACUUGAUGAGCAAGCUUCAGCAAGAAGCUAUCGUUGAAUCGGCUUAGGUUUAUGAGGAUAUCGUUGAUGAAAUUCUUGUACCUUUUUUGGUGCAUUGGCAAGAUUUUCGGCACGCUCCCACGUUCGCUCAUUGAUGUCGUAUCCACUCCAAUGCACUAAAUACUCCAAUUUUCUCCUAUUACGCCGUGAAUCUAGUACCUUUUCCACCUCGUAUUCCUCAUGGUUUUCAAUUUCGAUACUUGGUGGCGGACUUUGUACUCUUUGGGGAAAAGCUGACUCUCGAUAAGGUUCCAACAAAGAUACAUGAAAGACAGGAUGUACCUUCAUAGUAGCUGGUAACUCCAGACGAUAUGCCACCAGAUUGAUCUGCUUCCCGAUAACAAAUGGUCCUAAUCUCCGAUAGUCCAAUUUGUCACAUGGCCGCUUAGUCUUGAUAUUCCGUCGAAGAAGCCAUACUUUACUUCCAACUUUAAAAGUAGGCGCCUCAUUUCGAUAUUUAUCUGCAGAUGCCUUGUAACUCUCUUGGGCAGAUUGCAAUUGAAGCUUCAAUGUCGCUUGAAGCUCCGAUAGUUGCUUCACAAAUCCUUCAGCUGCUGGGUUGUUAUUUGCUGAAGAACUCAAUAAAUCGAACUUGGGGUGGUAUCCGUAGUUGGAGAAGAAUGGUGUUUGUUGAGUUGACGCAUGAAGAGUGUUGUUGUAUGCGAACUCAGCAAGCAGUAGAUAUGCAGUCCAAUCAUCUUAUUGAUAGUUGAUGCUGCAUCGUAAAUAUUGCUCCAAAACUUAAUUCACCCGCUCCGUUUGACCGUCAGUUUGAGGAUGAAAAGCCGAAGAGAGCUUAAUAUCCACCUUCAAUAUCUCAAAGAGGGACCUCCAAAACUUGGAUACAAACUGAGUACCUCGAUCCGACACGAUAUCAUCUGGUAGGCCAUGAUAACGAUAUAUGUUAUCAAGAAAGAGUCUUGCGGUGUCUUCACUUGACGAUGUUUUCUUGCAAGGUACGAAAUGCGCCAUCUUUGUAAAUCGAUCCACCACAACAAAGAUGCUGUCAAAUGAAUUCGAUGGCGGUAGGUCCGUAAUGAAGUCCAUAGAAACUGAAGACCAUGGUCGGUGCGGAAUAGGCAAUGGCUGGAGAAGUCCAUACGGACGAUGUCGAGGGAUCUUGAAUCUUGAACAAACAUCACAAGAAAGGACAAAUUCCUUCACAUCCUUCCACAUUUGGGGCCACCAAAAAUCUCGUGAAAUGAGCUCCAAAGUCUUGUUGAAUCCAAAAUGUCCCGCAGUUGGAAAGUCAUGGCAAGAUUGAAGUACUCGGAGUCGAGUUGGUCCUUUCGGGAUAUACAACCGCUCCUCAAAAUACAGAAGAUCUCCCUCCACCUUAAACUUGUCAUUAUCGACACGUUGUUUGAUGUCAAGAGCUAUAGAAUCCUCAAUGGUCGCAGUACGUACCUUGCUGAGGAAGCCGUCAUCGAUAGUUGCAACAGUAGCAAAAAUCCUGAAUUUUCCUAGUUUCAACAAUGUUGUACAUUGUUGAUCAAACGCUGCUUCUCCAGCCUUUGGCGCAAGAUAUGAUCUCCUCGAUAAUGCGUCAGAUAAUCCUUGCUGUUUUCCAGGGCGGUAUGUGAUAAUAAAGUCAAAUCGUGAUAGAGACAUAUUCCAUCGAGCUUGACGACGAUUCAAAAUUCGAGCUGUCAUGAAGUACUCCAAAUUCUUGUGGUCCGUAUAAACAGUCACUGGAUGUGCAGCUCCUUCGAGGAAGUGACGCCACUCUUGGAAGGCAUCCACUAUAGCAAGCAGCUCUUUGUCGUGGAUCUCGUAGUUGAUCUCAGCAGCAGAGAACUUUCGUGAAUAGAACACAACUGGGUGAAGCUUCUUGUCUAUGCCCAUCUGUGAAAGCACAGCUCCCAAAGCAAAAUCUGAAGCAUCGGUCUCUAAAUAGAAAGCCUUUGCAAAGUCAGGGUGUACCAAGAUUGGAGCCGUAGUGAAUGCCGUCUUGAGAUCUUGAAAUGCUUUUGCUGCUUGUGAUCCCCAUUCGAGCUUGUCUUUGCUUGUUAGACGCGUGAGUGGUGCAGCAACUUGAGAAUAAUUCUUGAUGAAGAUCCGAUAGAAGUUAGCAAAUCCAAGAAAACACUGAACAUCUCUAACCGUCUUCGGAACUUCCCAAGAUAUAAUUGCUUCUACCUUUUUUGGAUCCAUCUUCAAGCCCUCUGUAGUCGCAAUGAAGCCCAAAAAUUCCAUCUCAUUCUGGUGAAAUUGACACUUCUCCAACUUGGCGUAGAGUCCUCGUUCGCGUAGUUUUUCAAGAACCAAACAAACGUGCUUCUCAUGUUCUUCUUCAUUCUUGGAAAAUAUCAAAAUAUCAUUCAGAUAGAUGACAACAAAGUCAUCAAGGUACUUCCGAAAGAUGUCGUUCAUCAUAUGCUGAAAGACCGCUGGAGCAUUGGUAAGACCAAAAGGCAUGACAUUGUACUCAAAAUGGCCAUACCUUGUACGAAAGGCUGUCUUCCAUUCAUCUCCUUCUUUGAUUCGCACAAGGUUGUAGGCUCCUCUUAAAUCAAUCUUUGUAAAAAUCCUUGCACAUCCAAGUUGAUCUAAGAGGCCGGAGAUCAAAGGUAAGGGAUAGCGAUUUUUCUUGGUCACCUUGUUGAGUCCUCGGUAGUCCACACACAUCCGCAGUGAGCCAUCCUUUUUCUUCACGAAUAAGAUUGGUGCUCCAGCUGGGCACUUUGAAUGUCGAAUAAAAUUCUUGGCUAGAUUCUCAUCGAUGUACUUCCGCAAUUCUGCCAACUCCGUCUGCGAUAGGUUGUAUAUUGGACCAAAAGGUGGUUGCGCUCCUUCCUCUAAGUCUAUGGCGCAAUCAUAUGGUCGAUGUUCCGGCAGUAUAUCGGCGUUCUUCUUCUGAAACACGUCUUCAAAAUCCCUAUAUUGCUCUGGUUUAUUCGAUGUUGAGAUAUUCUCGUCGCUAGUUGGAGCUGCAUAAAUGACAAAUGGUGCGCCUUUCUUGGACGAUCUUAGGAACGCUCUCGCUCCAAUAAACAUGGAUUUCUUCAUAUAGGUUCUACCAACAGGUUUAUUAUUAUUUUUUUCAGGAAAUGUUAUCCUUCGUAGCCUCCAAUCAAUGGACGGAUUAUGAUCUUUUAACUAAGAAAGACCAAGGAUAACAGGGCUUGAUGGGGUUCUAAUAAUAUUAAAAAUAACGUGACUACUAUGAUCCUUAAACACCACUUCUAUAGGUUCUGAUUCGUGGAUAACGUUGCCUGACAAUAAGGGUUGUCCAUCUAUCACCUCUACGUGAACAGGUUUGGACUUCUGUACUAAACGGAUCUUGUGGCGUUUAGCAAACUCUUCAUCUGAAAAACAAGUAGAUACCCCCGAAUCCAAUAAAGCUAAAGUUUUUUGUUUUUGAGGGCCUAAAAACAAAGGAAUUGUAAAACAACGGGCAGGUUGGACAGAGAAGGAGGAACCUGAUUGUUGUCGUGAUAUUAGAUUGUCCAGUCGCACGGUUCCUACUGUGGCUGGGCGUCGUCGUUUUUCAGAAUCAUCGCACUUCUAGUCUUGACAGGGUGCCAAUUUUGCUUCUUUGGGCAAUUUCCAACCUUGUGACCUUCUUCUCCACAGUACAAACAUAACCCUUCCUCCAUACGCCGUUUCUUCUCUGUUGGAGUAAGAGAUCGGACACGCGCCGUGUCGAUUUACAUGUCUGUUGCCUCCGAAUGUGAGUUUAAGCUAUUUGCAGACAUAGUCACGUCGUAACGAGUCAUUUGGUGUCUUGGACAUUGGUCUUGGUGACGCUGGAAUAGGCGGUUGUCACACUUUACAGCUUGGCUAAUAGCUUCGUUGAGCGUUUGAGGAUCAGGAAGAGAUAACAGCAAGUCCUUCACAUCAUCCUUCAAGCCCCAAUAAAACUGACUCACCAACGCCUCUUCACCCCAAUUAAUGUCACUUGCCAAUUGUCUGAAAUCCGAGGCAUAGACUGAUGCAAAGCGUGUUCCUUGUCGUAGCGAUCGGAUCUUUGUUGUAGCCCAUCGAACUUUAUCAUGCUCGCCAAAUGCUUCUGCAAACGCCUCCAAGAACGUUUCAAAGUUGCUCAGGAUUGGCGAUCGCUUCUCGAACAAGGGAGUAAACCAAGACAGAGCUUGUGCUGUAAGCAAGGUUCCAACAAGCCCAACACGCGCUUCCUCCGUCGGAUAACGUUCAGGCUGUAAAAUUGUUAUCAACCUGAUUUGGUUGACAAAACCUCGAAACUUGGAACGAGUUCCAUCAAACUUAUGCGGAAGACUAACUCGAGGCUCCUUUUGUUGUAGGACUACUCGAUCUUGUUGAAAUGGAGGUAGAACUGCUUCUUCUGGCGCAGAAGUUUGAGGCUGAUAUGCUUUAGAUGGCGCUAUCCCAGAUGCUCCAUUGUUAUGGAGUCCUACCAUGACUCCUUCGAUCUCUGUUGUCCUAUGUGACAACAAGGCAAGAGUAUUUAUGAUGGCGUCUAGUUUGGAUUCCAAACUUUCAGCCAUUUUAACGUCUUAACCUUCGGCUAACCUUCAGAAAGAAGAAAAAAGAGUUUUGACAAGAGGACAAUAUUGGUUCAGAGGAGAGUACUCCGCAACCUCUAAAACGCCUUAAGACUCCAAGAUGAGGGGUAAUCCACUCUCUCCAAGAAGAAUAAGGCUCCAAUAUUGAGAAAGAAGAGAUAUCAGUUUAGAGGAGGGUAAUCCGCAACCUCUAAAACACUAGCACACCUUCAAGAAGAGGGGUAAUCCACUCUCUAACAAGAAGGAACUAGCUCUGAUACCAGUGAAAAUGCAGUCUCGACAAACUGUCACGGACACAGAAUACAGACUUGAAAUCUAACAAGAAGUUCAAGAAGAAGUGGCAGAACUAGAUUAAACAGAUGAGUACAAGAACAACACCAGAAAGGUGAGCUAGAACUCCAAGAGAUGUGUUGUCGAGACUGAAGAACCCUUCAGCCUCGACUCCUAUAUAUACUACUGAAUAGGAAGCUUCUCGAGCUACUUCCGCUAACUAGGACGCUUCUCCAACAACUUCUACUAAUUAGGAAACUUCUCGAGCAACUUCCUAGAAUCUAUCAGAAUAUUCUAGAAUCUUCUAAGAAUAUUCUAGAACCUUCUAAGAGAAUCUUUAGGGAAUAUUCUAAGAAUCUUCUAGAACCUUCUAAAGGAAUCUUUAGAUAAUCUUUAGAGAAUAUUCUAGAAGAAUAUUCGAAGAAUCUUCCAAUGUAUGUCCAUGACAAUGGUAGAUCAUAGUUGGGUAAAGCUAAUGAGAAUCUUAUGCAAUAUUGCCACUAUAAUUGUAGAAUUGACAUACAAAAUCGAUUAUAUUAUAUUUCGAUUACAGAGUUCUACGUUGUCGUAAUGUAAGAAGUCUUGCUUGAGAAUGCUUCGGGCACCUAGCUGUAGAAGAAAGAAUAGAAAUUGUGAUAACAAAAUCCUAAAUAGAAUACUAACAAUGCUCUAAUUAGACUAUAAUAAUGGUAAACAAAUGUAAUCCAAUUCAAAAAAACUCAAAGAAAUUUCAAAUAAACAAUAAAAUUCUUAAAGAAAUAUUAGAAUGAUCACAAAUUUUAUUCAAAUAUAUGUCAAUUCAACCUUAAUUUAAUUCUAGUUAAAACCCUAUUGAAUUUCACUCAACUUUAGACCAAACCUAAUUAAAUCUUUAGCCCUAAUAAUUCCUAAACCCUAAGUCAAAUCCUAAACAAAUCUUAAAUUAAACCCUAUUCCAAACCCUAGACCCUAAACCAAACCCUAAAUCAAACCCUAAACCAAAACCUAAUCCAACCCUAAACCCUAAACCAAACUUUAAAUAAAAUCCUAACCAAACCCUAAAUCCUAAUCCAAACCCUAAUCCAAAUCCUAAUCCAAACCCUAAUCCAACCCUAAACUCUAAUCCAAAUCCUAAACCCUAAACCAAACCUUAAAUCAAACUCUAAUCCAAACCCUAAAUCAAACCCUAACCAAAUCCUAAAUCCUAAUCUAAAUCCUAAUCCAAACCCUAAUCCAACCCUAAACUCUAAUCCAAAUCCUAAAUCCUAAACCAAACCUUAAAUCAAACCCUAACCAGACCCUAAUCCAAAUCCUAAUCCAAACCCUAAAUCAAACCCUAACCAAAUCCUAAAUCCUAAUCCAAAUCCUAAUCCAAACUCUAAUCCAAACCCUAAACCGAAUCCUAGCCAAACCCUAAUCCAAAUCCUAGUCCAAACCCUAAUCCAAACCCUAAACCGAACCCUAGCCAAACCCUAAUCCAAAUCCUAGUAAUUCCUAUGACAGAUUUAAACCUCAAUAUCUAAUGAAUAAACCGUUGAUCUCAAUUCAAAAUUUGCAUACUUCUUAAAAAUCAAGUUUAAAACAAGCAAAAAAAAUUUGAAAAGGAUCGAAAUUACCAAAUUGACGAAAACCUCAAAAAUGUGUUCGGGUGUUAGCCGGCCUUCUUUUCCAAUCUUGUUGCCAACCUUCCAGAGCCAAUUUCUCUUCUUUGCACUAUUCGAUUGGUUUCAAAUUUCUCAUGGACAUAGAAAAACAAGUCAUAUAUCUUCUCACAUAGGUUUUACUCCAAUCCAACCAGUAGAUUGCAUGAAAUCUUAAAAACCCUCAUUGGACCUAAAAUUCUACUUUCUGAGACCUUGACUCACUCAAACCUCAAUAUCUCUCAGUUCAACCGUUAGAUCAAGCUCAAAUUCACAACAUUUAUUUAAAACAACUAUAACCAUAAAUCCAAAACAAUUUACCCAUAGAUCUGCUACAAAACUCUCGAAAUCACUCAAAACAUAAACCCUAUUUUAUUUCAUAAAACCCAAGUCAUCCGAAAAAAACCUCAACUUUGCAAAGCUCUUACAAAUUCAUAUCAACUCCAAAUCACCCAAAAUCAAUGCCUAUAGAAACCCUGUCCAAUUUUCUCUCAAAUUCCACUCUCCGAUCUGCCAAAGAGUUGCAGAGUCGUCGUCGAGACUUGGUUUUGUGCCUCAGGAUCUGAUUUCGACCCUAGUUCAUAACCGGCCCUCUCCAAGUAUCAAUAUCUAGUUUUUCUAAGUAACUUUUUUCUAGAAUUUACUCUUAACUUUCUUUUAAAGAUUCCUAUAUCAUUUAUUUUCCCAAUCUACUUUGAUUUUCCUUACUUAUGGUACUACAAAGUAAGUAGAAGUCACCUUUCUAGAAGGCAGCAUUGAUACCUUUUAAUUUUUCUACCCCUUUGGCUAUUAACUAUAUUUCUAAGAUAAUUUGUUCUAAUACUUUGAACUAAGAUCUCUUAAAUUAUAAUAAUCUCCACACUCUUUCACCUAUUAAUUGUGUUACAUCAUGACAACGUUAUUGUAUCCUAUUUUAUUAGGCAGACCUUGGCUUUAUCAAGCCAAAGCUAAGAAUGAUUAGAGCCGAGGCACAUUGACAAUUGGAAAAGGCUAUGACCAGAUCAUUCUAUAGAUAUAUCCGGUAAAAUAUCAUGGAGAAUCUCAAUUUCUAAAAUUAAAAUUUAUAUCGAACAACGAGAGUCAAUCGAUUGAGAAAGAUGACGAUGCUAUAGGUUCACUGCAAUUUGAGGUAGGACAAAACACUUCAACAGCAAAAGCAAGAGUCUACCAAUGUCGAGGUCCCGACAAAUAUUUACUACAUCAGGAAGAUGCAGCAAACUCCGAUCAUGCUAUUGCCUAAUGGAUGAACAAUCCUUCAAUCAAUAGAGUCAACACAUUGGAACCAAAAUUGGAUAGUUUCUAUAUGUCGGAUAAUAUAAGAUAUUCUGAUCAGGAGAAGACAAUUAAAUGAGAGGUUGUUGAAGACCUUGUGUAUCAAUCCAUUAACCUAGGCACCAACGAAAUACUACAACUAAUUAAAAUAUAUGUCGAUAUUAUAGGUAUAGAAUUGGAUGCUUGGAAACAGUUUUUUAUCCGUCACAAAUCUACCUUUACAUAGUCGUAUGCAGAUUUGAAAGGGAUUCCAGCAAACGUGUGUGAGCACCAGAUUAUUUUGGCGGAAGGUGUUAUGCCAGUUCAUCAAAGACAACAGUGGCUUAACCCAAAAUAUUUCCUUUUAAUGAAAGAAGAAUUGGAUAAACUUCUCGAAGUAGAUUUUAUUUAUCCUGUUCCGCAUAGUGUAUGGGUGUCGUCAAUCAUGAUGGUACCGAAGAAGAAUGGAAAAAUCAGGAUAUGUCAGGAUUUUCGAAAGUUAAAUGCAGCUACUAAAAAGGACUAUUUUCCAUUACCAUUUAUGGACAGUAUUUUGGACGUAGUAGCUAGACAUGAAUGUUACUCAUUUUUGGACGGAUUUUUGGGAUAUAAUCAAAUUAAAAUUACCAAAGAGGACCAGUUGAUGACUAUGUUUACCAUAGAUUGGGAUACAUUCACCUAUAAAGUAAUGCCAUUUGAAUUAUAUAAUGCCCCGACUAUUUUUCAAUAGGUAAUAACACAAGCGUUUCAAGAUUAUCUACAUUUAUUAAUAGAGAUAUUUCUAGACAAUUUUUGCACAUUUAGCACAACGGCUAAAUAUCUAGCAUGUGUGGAUAACUGUUUGAAUCAAUGCGACAAAUAUGGGAUAUCUCUAAAUUUGGAGAAGUGUCAAUUGGUAUACUAUCGAGAAAGCUAUUGGGACAUAUUGUCUCUAUUGAAAGUAUCGCUAUAGACCCUCAUAAAGUUAUUCAUAUAUUGGAUUUACCAAAGCCAGAUAUGGUAUUGGGCAUAUAUGAUUUCAUUGGCUAUAUCAGCUACUAUCGGCGUUUUAUUGAAUCCUUUGUGAUUAUCUGUCAAUCGUUAAUCAACUUGUUGAAGAAACCCCCAUCAGACGGAUUUAGUCCAAUAUGGACUGAAGAUUGUACUUUUACAUUCGACAAAUUGAAAUGGAAAUUGGUAUUUGCCCCAAUUCUUGUAACACCUUGUUAGACAAAACCAUUUCAUGUCUAUGUAGAUGCAUCCAAUAUUGCUAUUGGAUCUAUUUUCAGUCAAAAGGAUGAAAAAAAAUUAGAUCAUUCUAUAUAUUAUGCGAGUCCACAAUUCAUUGUUGUAGAACAAAAUUAUAAUACUAUCAAGCGAGAAGCCCUCGAAAUGAUCUACUCUAUAUAGAAAUUCCACCACUAUCUACUUGGAUACCCAUUUGUGUUCCACGUUGAUCAUGAUGCGCUUAAGUACAUGAUAAAUAAACCUCAAUUGAGCGGACAAAUUGCUCGAUGGAUAUUACUUCUCCAUGAAUUCAACUUUACGAUUAAUGUUCGACUCGACAAGAAACAUGCCAAUGCGGAUCACUUAUCCUGUUUAUCUAAUAUAUUGGAUAAUGAGCCGAUAAACGAUGCUCUUCCGGAUGCACAACUAUUUGUUGUGGAUGUCAUUACACCUGAAUAUGGUGAAUUGAUCUAAUAUCUAAUGUUUCAGACUUUUUUAAUUUUUUAUAAUGAAAAAUUAAAGAAGCAUCUGAUUUUAAAAAGUGUGCCAUAUACCAUCAUUGGAGAUGCCUUGUACAAACAAGGGCAGGAUGGAAUUUUACACCGUUGCAUCUUUCAAAGUGAAGUUCGUACAAUUUUGGAAGGAUGCCAUUUGGAUAGUUGUAGAGGACAUUUUGUAGGUGAUAGCACCACAUGUAAGGCUUUAAUGGCUGGAUAUUGGUGGCUAACAAUUUUUUCGGAUGCACACCAAUAUGUUUGUCGUUGUGAUCCUUGCCAACGAUUUGGUCACCCUACUGGAACUUCUGCAAUGCCAUUGGUACCAAUUUUGGCACAUGCACCAUUCGAAAAAUGAUGUAUUGACUUUGUAGGAUCCAUUGCACAUGCCUCUCAAAAUGAACAUAAACGUUAUAUUCUAAUAGCCAUCGAUUAUGUCACCAAAUAGGCAGAGGCCAUGGCAACAAAAAUUGAUAAUUUCAAUAUCAUAGCAACAUUUUUAUAUGAGAACAUUAUUACUCGUUUUGGCUGUCCGAAAGAAUUGGUUAGUGAUUGCGGAACACAUUUUAUUAAUGCAACAAUUGAACCACAGAACUACACCUUAUCAUCCACGAGCCGAUGGGCAGACAGAAAAGACCAAUAGUAUCUUAUGUAAGAUCUAAAAAAGACUAUUUUAGGAGCGGGAACCGAUUGGGACACUAAAUUAUUCAUAGCUUUAUGGGCGUACCGUACUGCGUAUAAAAUAACUACCAAUUCUAUCCCAUUUUAAUUGGUAUAUAGUCAGGAGGUAAUUCUACCAAUUGAAUUGGAGGUCCAAAGUUUACGAAUUAUAUUGGAUGAAUGUAUGGGAGACAGAGAAUUUCUUCAAUAUAGAUUAGUCCAAUUGCAAAAAUUGGAUAAAGCUUGAGCUACAGCUCUCUUGAUCAUGGAAGCUAUAUAGCGUUGUAGAAAGAGUUAUUAUGACAGUAAAUUACGACCAAAAUAUUUUAUGCCUAAUGAUCUGGUGCUACUUUAUGAUAGCCGCUUUAACAACUUUCUCGAUAAAUUUCAAGUACGAGGGCAUGGACCAUAUUAGGUGGUGGAAGGUUUCCCUAAUCGUUCAAUUCAAUUGGAAGAUUUUGUGGGAACCCACUUCACAACACGCGUUAAUGGGAAUCAGUUACGUCUGUAUUAUAUGUAAACCUGAGACGGAUUUACUCAAUGGCGGGAGGGAGUCUCUGUAAUAAUGAUUACUCGACAUGAUUGACAAGGUUAUGAUAGCUAGGAAACGAUUAAUGGUUAGUUUUGGGUACUAAAACUGACUAGUUAGGAAAUUAGACAUUCUUGAUUAGAUGUGAGAUUAAAGUACAUUGGAUUAGACAUUCUUGAUUCGGACACCGAGUAAGCAAUUAGGAGCGUGGCACUCAUAGAAGGUUUCAUUGUUGUAAAUUUUAGACAUUGUGCUUUGAACUCUAAGCUUUACGACAGUAAUCAGUAAUAGUGUUAGCACAAGGAAGUAUUGAGAGUUUGAUUUUCACAAUGUCGAUGGAAAAAGUGAAGAGAGUAUCGAAAUGAUCGGAAAGUCACCGUAAUAUGAGGUCUAAGUGUGAUCUGAGAUCGUCGUCUCUUGUAGUUAUCACCAACAUGGAACCGAUGAAGUUAGAUAUCUAUUGGUCAUUGAAAAGGAAAUUUUUUUUUAGAAAUGCACAGUUAUUUACAUUUUUACGAGGAUCGAAUAAACUACCACCAAUUGAUAUAGAACGAGUGGCGGAAUAUAUAAAAAAUUAUGAUCUAGAGGAUGGUUCAAGUGUGGUAAGAGGAGUCCUGAUUGGGAUAGAUGAAAAUAUCUUACACAAGGUCUUGCAUUUAUCAAUCGGAGAGCUUGAGGUGGGAGGAGACCCAUCACAUGACUUCAAGCCAAGAAGCUACUUCAAAGGAGGGAUGUCAUCUCUCAAGCAAAAUCAAGGAUGGAAGGUACAGGAGGCACUUACGCCCGAACUUAUGAAAUGGAUAUGGUUCAUUCAGAAGCAGUUAACAUUGAAUCGGCAUACCACCUACAUGGCGAAGCAAUUAUUAUUUUCCGUGAUAGGAACACUGGAAGGCAUAGUAUUCAAUUGGACAGCUUAUGUGGCCACAAGGAUACAUGCAAAAAUGGAAGCUAAGUGGAAGACAAGGAAGUUUGUUUCACUAUUAUAUUCUAAUUAUGUAAACUCAGUGAUUGAUUAUACAUUGAAACAAGAAUCUCAAUCAGUAGUUCCAAGUUUACAAACGGGAACAGUUAGUCAAGGGGUAAUGGUGUAUGAAGUGGAAGAAUCCAGCACAGCGGCAGAACGAGAAGUAAGACCAAUAUCUACACGAGAGCGAGUUCUAAUUCGACUGACAAUAGAGAUGACAACACCAAUAUCAGUUCCAAGAGAAAGCAAUCAAUUAGGUUUCAACGGGGUAUAAUAGAAGGGUGGAAUCUUAAAGAAGUUAUAUUGGAUCAAAUUUCCUAACUGCAACUUACGGUGAGUAAGUUCGAAGAUGAGGAUAGCUUAAAAAGGCAAGUAAAAGUGAGCAAGAAAAUAAUAUUGGCACAAAAUUAUAAAAUUAGGGAAUAGGAACAAGUCAUCAAGGUAGAAUCGAAUUCGAAGAUGCGAGUGAAGCGUGAAUUGGAUGAAAGAGUGGAAAACUGAUCAAAGGAGAAAUAGAGGAUUCAGCAUAUCUUGGAAAAUCAAAGGCAAGAAUUACUAUAAACUCACAAAUCAUAUAGAUUGGAACAGGAGAAGAUGAACACUCAAUUGAAGAUAGAACGAGAGAAGAACGAGGCAUUGGAGCUUGAAAAGAAACAAUUGGGUGACCAAUAUCGAAACAAAACAGAUGAGCUACAGGCAGAAAUUAUUGUUUUGAAUGAAACAGUAACAAAAUUGGAGACUAAUUUGGUCAAAAUUGGUCAAUCAUAGACAUCUGCUUCAACAGGAGUAAGAAUUGGAAAAUUGAAGGAGAAAUUGCAAUAGCAGUAGCAACAACUAGAAGCUAAAGAUGCCAAAAUAUUCCAAUUGGAAGCUCAGGUUCGAGAAUUGGGAGCAUAUAAUGAAGAUUUAACAGCUCAAUUAAGGGCAGAGAUUCAAGAUGAGUCGAAGGAAGAAGAUAUAGUGUUGGAACAAGACCAAAUGGAGCCAACAUUAGAAAUUGAAGAGAUUAAACAAUCUAGUUAAAAAAAAAAAAAAAAAAAAAAAAAAAAAAAUAGUUUUUGUUUAUCAAUACUAUGUUUGCGGGGACGCUGCACAGUUUGGAGUGGGGCUAUGUAGAAUAAGUAGUUAUUUUCAGAAUGUAGAUAUCUAGUAUAUAGUGUAAACAGGGAUAGAUAACUAUUGAAAAGGUAGUUCAGUAGGUAAAAUAGAUGAAUAGUUAGGAAAAAUAGUUAUCAUCUAUAGUAUAAGAAUUGGUAUCUUGGGGUAAUAUAACGAGGAUAGGAGAGAGGAAGAAAAUGCUAGACUGUGAUAGUCAUGAGUGAGGGGCUAGACUGCAAUAGUAUUGAGCCGAAAUAAGCUUGGUAUUAUCUCUUCUUCUUAGUUUUCUUGUUUCUUUUGUGUUAGUGUUGAUUCUAGUGAAGAGAAUCGAUUUAAUGAAUCAAUGUUUGAUUUAUGAAGUUAUUUAUGGAUCACUGUUUAUCAAUUGUUGUAAAAGAUUGAUGAUGUAUGGAAGUUUUUAGUCACUGUUUAUUGUAAGGUUGUGAGUUUAAUGGAGAGGAAUUGUAAUCGAAGGAAUUGUCUCGAUCAGAUUCUGUGGAUUCGAAGUUAUUCGUUCCAGGGUUUGGGUUAUGCUUGUGUGUUCAUGAAUUACACAGGGUACUAAAAUUGAUGUCGUGGUUGUUAUUGUAUUGAUAUGAGAGAGUCGACAGUAGGAGGAAAAGUUAAGUGUUCUUUGGUAUUGUAAACAUUCAGCAGUAGCAAUUAAUUGUGUGAUCCUAACAAUUGGAGCUCAUAUACAUGGUCUUUCCCUGUGUUCGAAUUCUCCUAUAUGGAUUUAUUCUGGGAGGUUUCUUCCGGAAUAAGUAAAACGGAAAUCACAAAGCUCAAUGAAUUUUCAUUAUUGUAGUCCAUUACACUGAAGAAUUAAUUCAAAUCAAUUCAUAGCAUAAUCACCUUUAUUUGGUAACAAAAGCUCUAUCUUUCUAAUCUAAGCUAAAAAGCCUUCUAGUCCAUUCAUCUCUACAUCUUCAUAAUCUUAGCCUUCUUCUUCCUAAAAAGGUAACCAAAAUGAGUAUUCACCUUCUCAAAAGUAAAUAAUGUAUUCCUUUAGAAUGGUGCAUUGGCUUUGUGUUCUUUCAUGGAAGUGCCUUAAUUAGCUUCAAUGCCUCAUCUUACACAAAAAAAGCUUGAGGAAGUUUUAAUCAACACUUAUCUUGCAUAUUAAAAAUCUUGUACAUGCUUCAAGUUGUGAGUCAAGUAUGCCCCACAUUUUAGCCAAAUUUCAUGGCAACCAAAGUGAAAGUAAGGCAUUGGUCUUAAUCAAUGACCAAGGCAAGAUCCUUUUGUAAUUCAAUAUUUUGCCAAAAUAUAAGCAAUUAUGCUCCUUACAAGGUCAUGGUAGGCUCAUCAUUACUAUCUCAACCACCCAAGCUACAUGCUAUAUUUUUGGAGUCAAGCUUUAAAUAUAAUUUUUAUUCAGAGAAUAAUUGAAUCCAUCAAGAAAGAAAGCCGUUGGUAGUACAAAUUAUACCAUAAUAUAGACAAAAUAAGCUCUAUAUUAUGAUAAAUAUUACACCUGUGAAGUUGCUUAAAGACGCUCUUAAAAAACUAUCUCCAAUUUGGAUCAAAUUACAAUUGAGCAUUGACAAAACUCUCAAAAUUCUCAUUCUUGUUUUACCAUAUGCGUUUCUAAAGAUUCUUUAGAAAAGAAGUAUCUUCCUCAAUACUCAAAAUAACCUCAGAAGCUACAAUCUACAAAGCUUCAACCUCCAUGAUAUCUACAAAACAUCUCCACCUAAUGCACUCAAAUCUAUAAUAGGUGCAUACUACUAUCUCCACCAUCACGAAAUCUUAGGCCUUAAAAAGCCUACUUUGUAGCAAUAGACAUUGAAAAAUUUCUAGCUUCACAUAAUCUCGAUUUCAAUAUGCUAUGUUGAUUUGUACCUUUCAUUUCUAAUAUUUAAUUAUAACUUCAACUUUGAUAAAUUCUCCACUAUCUUUGGUGCACCAAAAUACCUACAAAUGUGCAUGGAGAAGUUUGAAGACAACUUGGACUCUAUUAAGCUCGGCUUGAGCAAGUAGAAAUACUGCAUUGACAAUAUGGAAUUCCUCAUAGAGUAGUUGUAGAAGAAGUUGGACCAUAGGAAAGGUAAGAUUGAUCUUCCAAAUUCAUGCUCCUCCAUGCACAAAAUGCAAUAAUAAUACCAAUUAUAUCACCUGUUGCAAGGAAAAGGCUAGUAAUGUAUAGUGCAUAAUUUAUAAUGUAUAUAAUGCACAAUUUGAAAUAGAUAAUUUUGUAUGAAGACUACUAUGAGUUAUUUUAUUAUGAGUGAAGACUACUUAUAGCUAAAAAACAAAGAACUAGAGACUCAAAAUAUAUUAAAACAGUUAUUGAAGGUAUUUCUUAGUAAGAGUAUUUAGCACAAAUAUCAAAAAUACCUAGUUAAUAUACUUUGCUUGAUUUUUGAUAAAAAAAAGUUUGAAUUAACUUUAUUUUUUUGCUUCACUUUUGACAAAAACAAUGAGGCAUGUAGCCACAUGUAAAACAGGUUGUAAACUCUACAAAAUAUGAACUUUUUUGAUGAAAAUUAAGAAAGAUGCAUGUGGUCAAGGAUAGCCACCACUUAUUUCCUUGAGUGAUCUUUAUAUAUAUAUAUAUAUAUAUAUAUAUAUAUAAUGAUAAUUUUUGAAUAUUUAUAUUUUAUUUAUUAUUUUAUAAUUAUUAUAAUAAUUAAAAUCUACUUUAUAUAAAAACCUAUUUGGUUGGAAAUCUCUUCUUUUAUCUUUUUUUUUUAUAUUUAUCUUUUAUCUUUAUCUUUAUCAUUUUUUAACAUUAUCUACUUAAAAUUUUAUUGUAUUUUUUUUUUUAAUGUUUAUCUAAUGAUUUAAAUAUAUUUUAACUUUUAUUUUUUAGAAAUAUAUUAAACUUAAAACAGCUUACAUAUACACAAGAUUCUCAUUUUUGAGAUAUUUUAAUUACAAAAAGUUAUUGAUGGAAAAUUAAAGUACAGUCAAUCAAACAAGAAGUGAUCAAUUAAUACCUGAUUCGGCACCUUUCUUGCUAAGAGUUUGGAUAGAGAUCCUACAAAACAAGUUUGAUGGGUGACUAAUAAAUUGUACUUAUUCAAUUUUGUUUUAGAAUUUCUUAUUGUUAAAGUUUGGACUUUUUCUUCUCAUAACCAUUCAAAAUAUCAAAUUUACACACACAUCUUAGCUUUGAAUGAUUCUUUUCAAAUCCAUCAAAGGUUGUAGGGAUUUAUUUAUAAAGGUAUUGAAAUUGAAUGAAUUAAUUUGAUUCAAAAUAGUUGGUGUUGGAAGCAAUGAUUGAAGAUGAGAACCCACCUUAAUAAUGUUGGCUAGUUGAAGCUUUCAAAUUGCAACAUUGUUGGUGUUGUCAAGGACUAUUCUUGAUGUUGUGAAGUACCACCACCCUUGGUGUUGUCUUCUGAACCCAUUACUAUUUUUGUAUAUACAUACUAUACAUACUUUAAAAACAUAUGAGAAAGUAUCUGCUAGUUCAUUUUGAGCUGGAAUUGAAUUUCAUUCAAAUGUCCUCAAGGUAGAUUAACAUUACAAACCUUGGCACUCUCUUUGUUAAUGCCAAAAGAUAGUUAUAAGAAAUGAACGACUUUAGUGUAAUGUAAUCAAAGAUAUAUACAUUUAUUUCUAACAAGCAUAUUACCUGUAUAAUAAUAAAAAUAAUAAUUACAAAGAAAAACCUUCUAUUCUUCAAGAUUUACGUAUUGAAUGAACAAGCUCCUACAAGCAUUUUCAAUACCAUCCAUUUUUUUCUUAAUUUGUCUUUUAUAAUUCUUGAAGUCCUUCCAUCAUAACAUACUACAUCAUAUUCCACUGUUUCAUUUCAAUAUAGUCAAUCUUCUUCAUGUCUCCACUCCCACUACAUUAAAUUAACCAAUGUGUCAAAACAUCAAAUCAUGCCCUUGAUGCAACCCCUAUGAACAAUAAAUCCAAAAAGUUCCAAUUCACAAAACAUCAAAACCAACAACAAAAUCAUUAAAAAGUGUAUAUUUGGAUGCUUAGUGGAAUGAGCAAAGGCAAUCAUCCAGACCCAUACAAAUGACUUGCCAAAAACAGGGUCCCCACCUCAAUCAAUCUCAACCCUAAACCUGCCGAAACCCUAAAAAAACUGAGACCGCAGACCUAGUCAUAACACUGGGUGGGCAGCCCGCCAGGGGACCUUUCGCCGACAGGGCUCUUUUUAUGAUACAAGCUUGCAGAAACCGAAUCAUGGACCAGAGAGAAAGAUCGACAUAAAUUGGGUGCCUGCAACUCCAAAUGAAACAACAGCACUCCAUGAUUCUCAACGUUGGAGGGCCAGUCAUUAACUUGGAGAAUCGUCUAGUUCACGGUUUUCUACACGGAUCUGGCACUUGCGGUAUAGACUGGAACCAGCUAAGGUUUUGAGGUUCAGUGGACAGUGCCGUUGCGUGGGUUAGAUUGGUCACGGUACUGAGCAAGAUCCUGCAGUAGAUCACAUCGACAUGGUGUGAGGGUGGUGGAAUAAUCUAGAUGAUGAAACGGAGAAGAUGAGUUCUUAGCAUCGAAGGGUUAGCUGACCUGUGUCAACGCGUAGACACCCUGAACUGUUGGUCCCACUGGACUUCCUCGCCGGAGGAAUUUUGAGUCUUGCAAAGUGUAGAGCAUGGGAAUGCCGGUUGAGAGCUCGAGCUCGAUCACUUCCUUGGAUGUGAGCUUGUCUAAGUACAUGAUGAUGGCGCGCAAGGAAUUGCCGUGCGCUGCGAUCAUUAUGUUCUUCCCAGAUUCCAGCUCUGGGACCACCUGCUCACACAGCAUCACCCAUCGGUGGGGUUUAGGAAACCGUGCUAUAAGUCUAACAAAGGUAACGUCAGGGGAAUGUUUAGAGGUGAAGGGUAGUUGCUAAAAACUGCAGUGGAGAGUGAGAGAUCAGCUCUAGAGUUUUUGAAGAGAUGGAGAAUGUUUUGGAUUUAUCUUACGUUGUCCACGAAGUACUUGACGGCGCGCUCUGCACACAUCUCGAGGCUCUCCCCAUUGGGUGGAGGGAUAUCAUAGCUUCGGCGCCACUCUUUGACUUUCUCAGUGCCGAAUUUCUCAGCUGUUUCUGCCUUGUUCAAUCCUUGUAAUUCACCGUACCUGCAUGCGAGGAAAGAGCGUGUAUGGCUUACUUUAUAUGUUCAAGGCAAGGCUUUGAAAAAAAUUGCAAUUCGUUUUGUUGGGUUGGCAGUGGCAGAAGGAAUGCCAGCAGAUUGGGCUUACCACGCCUACAUUGAAUCGUGAUCAGAAGAAUAUCAACAGGAUGUAUUCGUAAGAAUCAUACAACUAGUUUGAGAAGGAUACCAGUACAAUCAACAGGGUCUCUACGAAAACUGUGAAUACUCCCAAAUCGCAUUACGGUGUUUGCUCAAGGUUUGUGGAGGUUUUUGCAUAACUUCACAUAAUGGCGAUGGAAGUGGGUGGAGAAGUAAAGGUGAAUGAAUCGAAGAGGUGGACUUACAUGCGCUCAUUAAGCUGCCAUGCGGUGACCACGGGGAUGACAUCGUCUGUAUCGCUGUAUAUUCUACUCCACGCUUCUGCCCUCUCACUUUCGUUGUGAAGAAUCACUGGCACCUGAAAGAUAUGAACUCCGAAUUAAUUCACAGGCAUGACACCAAACUGAACACAUUCACUCCCACGGCGUUGUAAUGCCAAGCAUACACAUGCGAAUCAUUGAAAGGGCCACAAAAGGCACGGACAACAUUAAGAUGUCUCACCUUCUGGCGAUGGUGCUGCGUCAUGGCGAGCAUAGCAGUCAUCUGAGCCCGAAUCAGCGCAGAGGUGAAGAUCAUAUCCACGGGGAGCUCGCUAAUGCACUUGCCUGCUUCGAUCGCUUCUUCCACGCCCUUCUGAGACAGAGGGACGUCCACACAUCCCGUGAAGAGAUUCUUCGAGUUCCAUAGCGAUUCUCCAUGGCGAAUGAGAAUCAGUGCCGACUCCCCUGCAACCAACACAAACAGCCAAGUGCUCAAACACAUUGUCUAGUAGCUAAGCUGCAGCUGCGUUUCCAACAAACCAAUACCUACACUAAGGCGGAGAUAACAAAGAGGGAAUCGAAACCCACUAUUGCCGCUUGGAGUCGCAAUACCAUCAGCAAUGAUAGUUUCGGCAGAUUGUUGCACAGCAGAAGAGGUGAUUCUUCGCCGCUCACGCACAACUCGCAUCGACGACGACGACAACAGCCGCUUAUGAAUCGAACACAAGGCUCCCGACGACUUGAGACUAACCCCGGCAUUGCGGCAGCUACGCCACUGAACAGGGUGAAGUGAACACACACCCUCCGCACGCAACACGGAAGCCGCAGAGGAGGCAGGGCACACAGACGAAGCAACCGCCAUGGUUCAACGUCCCCGAACACUUCGAGGAGUCCGCCAAGCACGAAACGGAAACAGAGAUGAACAAUGUCAAUGGAUUCGCAGGAACCGGCAAUGGACUCAGGCACGCAACUGAAAGGAUUCUCUUUCGGUAUGGGGAGCAUGUGAGGAUCUCGUUGGCCUUUAGCUUGAAGUUGCAUCUGUUUUUCCAGGCACGAGUUGCCCUGCAGGAAUACCGGCUGCCGCGACCUUUUGGUGAGACUCCAUGGGUCCAUCCUAUUCCAUUCCUUUUACGCCAUUUCUUUCUAAUUUCCUGCUUAUUUAUUCAAGUUUCCUGUUUUUCCCUUCCAUCACUGAAAUGCCUGGAAUUUGGAAAAGCAGAGCGGAUUGGGGCCAGAAUAGAAAAGAGCUCUGGUAUCUUUAUCUUUGUCUCCCUCAAGUCUUGAAUGAUGGCUGGGUUGGGGUCAUCCUCUGUGAGCUGCAACGAGUGGUCGAGGUCGUGCUUUCCCACUGCUUCGAAUUUUGUUGGGGAGAUCGUCACUAAUUGGGCGACAAAGGAAUGGGAAUUGUUCAGCUUGAACCACCUUUUCCCUUAAAAGAAUCAGUCGGAUGAACUGUUGUCCCGUUAUUUCUUAAUCGCUAGUACUUUAUCGAUGAUUACUGGUGUUUCGAGAACCGGGGGUGUCUUGAGUGAAGCUCUGGAGGUUGGCAGCGCUAGAUCUGGUGGCCCACAAUCGCCACCUGGGACCCACCAUCUUUCCAUCCUCUGAUGGGUAUGAAGCGUCGGCGUUUGAAAUUGGAUCCCAAGUUGCGACCUCGGUUGUGUGGAGCCGGAUAACGUCCCAGCGAUUAGGGUUCACGCGCGUCGGGACAGAUCCUUACAGAAUUCCCUGAUUUGGAAUUGGGUUCCUCAGCGUCGGUACGAAUCAAAGCAUGCAAAUUGGCCUCUAGUUACUUAACAGGGUUUCUUCGUCUUCUUCUUCUUCUUCUUCUUCUUCUGUUUUGUUUUGUUAGCGAGAGUUGAACAUCACAGUAUGCUGGACAUCUUAGCUAUGGCUGGAAAGGUCACCACAAUUUUUUUUCCAUAAACGUAGCUACCUCAUCGGGCAGAUCGCUUGUUGAGCCGAAUUGUUUCAGAAGAGAAUCGAUCUUUAGUAUCAAAAGCAAUGUCUCUCGAGCAUGAAACUGUUGGCUUCCUUUCUGAGCGGCUUUUUGGGUUGUUAACAAGAGCUCCAGACUAUGGCCCUCUGUUCUUUGAAUAUCAAAUGUACAUGGAUUGAAACGAAUUUCCUACGACUUUCUUGAGGGCAGAUCAAAGACUUGUACUCAUCUCGUGGAGAAGUAGGGUUUCGACCGGCUUUCGAUUCGUGGACUUCAUAUUUGUUGCACGAAUUGUGAUCUACCACCACAGUUACAGAGCGGGUUAUGCGAUGUCGACAGCCCAUUAGGCAUUGUCCUUUGAACUCAAACAGUCUUGCGUUAGAAACCUGCUCAUGAAGUGAUAUUCAACCAGCCCAGGCGGUUAACGAACGCAAAACCGACCAAGAUAUGAAGACACAAAUCCUUCACUGAUUUCUCUUAUUUCGAAUCAUCUUGCCCAUCCCCAAAUGGAUCAUUGUUGUAAGCCAAGACUUCAAGCCUGGCAAGAGAUAAUUCUAUGCAGAGGCAUUGCACCGCAUUACAUUGUCAUCGAUUUCGGAGCCUUUGUCAAAAACCUCUUGCAGCUCUUUGAACACUCCAAGUAAAGUAACCUUGGAAGAUGUAAUUGAACAAUUGAGAUCAACACAAACUACAGCAGAUUGGACAUGACCUUCAAGUCUAAUUCGAGCUUUUUUGCGCGACUAUCGUUCGCAUCAAUCUUCUGCUCUACAUUCUGCAACUGUUGCUGAGUGUCUUGAACCUGAACGAAAGGAUCUCAACGAUUAGUUAUGAAUCCAGAGGCGAAAUGGUACUGUGUAAUACUUAUCGGAGAGAUGCGAUGCAGGAGAGAAUAACCUCUCUUUCCAUAGCUCGGAGCGUGUUCUCCAGCUCCCGGAUGCGUGCAUCGCGCGACCCAACAGUUACACUAAGGGUAGAAUCGGUUAAUUCUAGCUUUCGUUGCACUUCCAAUAUCUCCAUUUCUCGACUCUGGUUAUCAUCACAUGUUGAUAUCUUAACCACACACGCACAGGAAUGCUAAUAUAGUUGAGAAUGCGAUAUUGGCUCUCUGGAGGACCUGCAGCUUGUGCCAUUUCAUGCAGGCAAAAUAUGAUUAUGAUGGUUUUCGUUGUGUGCUUAGAAACACGGUAACACAGUUGUGAAAAUCUCUUGGUCCUGCCUUUCUUACCAGGCAAGUGCUCUCAAGAUUUGCAAACUGCUUGUCACGAUCUUGCAGCAGCUUGCGCAAUGAUCCCGCAAUUUCGAAAGCGCUUUCGAGCAUCUCCUGAGAUUCACCAGGCAUUCCCUCCAGCCUCUCUGCUGUAUUUAUCAGUGCCUGCAUGCAUUUCUCAAGCUUCAGCUGCACGUAGGAUUGGAUUAUUUGCUGCAAUCUGAAAGUAUGAGCUCAUGCUGUCGCAGAACCUAAUCCGGUAGCCUCAUGCUCAAUGCAAUCGACAGCGCGAGUUAUGGUUGGGUACACUAUUUCCUGAUAGCUUAUGGAUCAGCCCUAAGAGUACAGGUGACGAAAGCCAUCCACCUGCUUGUAGGAGUCAAUCUGUUUCGUUUUCUCAGCGAGUUGAGCGCGAUGUUCGUGCAGAACUCGCAUCAAAUUUUGCAUCUCCAGAGUGCUGUUGACAUCUCCUUCGGUGGCUUCAGUAUUCUCUCUCUGAAGGUUUUCCUGCAGAGGGGUUAUUUUUCCGUUUGAUUUUGAGCAUACAUCGUAGGGACUGGUAAGGUUUCUUAGCUUACUGAUGCUCGCAUGACACUUCUCGGCAAAUUCUCGAGGAGGGGACACACAGGUCACGCGCAUACGCUACCUCUCAACAACGCACCCCAUUACCUGCAGUCUUUCGAUUUCUAAUUCAAGCUCCUGCGCGCGACGAUGCUGGAGUUGAAUCUCAUCAACCAUCGACUUCUCGAGAGUGGCACCAUCUUCGAGAGCACGCUGAAGAUGCUCCUUCUGUUUGUCCUUGCUCACUAUGGUAUUCUUCAGGUCCGCAAUCUCCGACGACAUUUUGUCUACGCACUCACCGAGCUGAAGCUUCUCCACGUCCAAACUCACCAUCCCAACCCCUCCACUGUGAACCACCUAUACAACGAAGCGCAGUUCCACAACAUCAGAAACAUGAGCUGGGCCGCACCACCAUCCAACCCUCUGCGCAGUGCACCCGAAUGUCCACAUUCUUCACCCCAAUCUGUCCCAUGUGCUGGAUUGGAAUCAGCUCGCAAGCCUGCCUUGGCAUCUGCCGUGUUAGUCACACAGCGAUACGACUACACCCAAAUCCACCCUCUGCCACGGCGCGUAGAAGCUUCGAGGUCCACCACCUCCGCAUGCACACAUCAUUGGCAGCAUUGCGUGCGACGAAUUACGGGCACCCUGCAGAGUAGCUUUUGGUGGAUCCAAGGCAACAAGAUUUCCAGCUGCCAAACGUCCGAAACGAAAGCUUGAGGAUGGGCGAGGCGUCGGCAAGCGCUGAUCCGUCGCGCUGCCAUGGCUCGGAUUCAACCUGGGCACCUGCUUCGCAAGACAAAGGCAGUUAUAACUGACUCAGAUUGCGUGUCGUCACUCUCGCGGCUCGAUUGAUCAUCGAGACACGACGAAAGCCGUCGUCCACGAUCACGCGCAAGCGACGUGAAGGCUCUCGCGGGGCGUCGCGGCGGUGACGCCCCGUCAAGUCCGAGUGGUUAUAUCGUCUACUAUGAAUCUUAGGUUUACUGUAUUCUAAUAAUAAUAACAAUAAUAAUAAUCAUAAUAAUAAUAAAUGACGGAUUGAGGAUGUUUAAGGUUUAGGGUUUUCAGUUUUCCACAAAAAUUAAAUAAUUAUUAAUCAAUCAAUAGAGCCCUUGGAUGUGAAGUUUGAGCUUUGGUUUAAGUUUAUUUAUUUAAUUAUUUAUGUUUCUCUUUUUCUUUUAUUUUUUCUUUUUGAAAAGAUACUCUAGAUCUUUGGAGAAUAAAUUUUGGUGUUAAAAAAAAAAAUACAGCACCAACUGUUUUUGAGAAUAUAAUUGUUCUUUUUAACAAGCUGAGUGAUUGAAAUUAUGUUAAAGAUAAAAAAAAAAAAAAAUUAGUAUACACAAAAUUGCAUUUAACUGAGGCUGGUAUUUACUAAAAAAAUGUAUUGUUUUUAGUGCAAGUGGAUUGAUCAUAGAAUUUGGAAUUUUCAAAUGUUAGUAUGGAUUGAUUGUAAAUAUGAUGAUUGUGCCGAGACAUAAAUAGGCUGGAAAACAAUAUGAAAAAAAAGAAAAAGAAAAAGAAAAAAGAAUCUAAACUAAGUCUAUGUUUCAUUUUUCUUUAAUUUGGAUUAGACAUUAAUGUUGAUAUAUAUGUAUAUAUAACUAUAAAACAUCAACUAUGUCUGUAAAACUAUGUCUAUAAAACAUCAACUUAAAUUAUUAUUAUACUUAGAUAAAUUAAUCAAUUAGUUCUCUAACAAUUGAUAGUAAUAAAAUUUAAUAUCUGCCAAUAAUUUUAUUGUUUUUAAUGCAACUUGAAUUUUGAUGCAGCAGCUAGCAUAUGCAAUAAUAAAAUCAAGACUUUAUAUUCACUAAAAAUAAAAUUUCUGUGAUACCUUAUUCAUUCUACACUCAUCACACAUGUAAAAAUAAAAAAUAAGGAAGUAUUUAAAAUUGGAAUCAAAGUUGAUUUUGAAGUUAUAUUUACAAUUACACUGCAAGCCAUAGCUUCUAACUUUCAAAGCCUACAAGUUAGUUCCUGUGAUAUCAAGUAUAGACACAUUGCUUCUAUUUAAGGUUUCAACACAGUACCAUCACAUUUUGAAACCCAAUCACAUCUAAAAGUGCCACAACACUACUAUUCACCAUCUCGAAUGGGUCCAUAUGCUCUUACAAAUAAACUAAAAUGCUAUUCUAAAUAUACGAGAAAUAACACAAGAACCCAUAAAUUUGUCAUAUCAUCAACAAUUCAAAGAAAGUACUCAUUUUGAAGCUCAUGUAACAAGAAAAAAAAAUAUAUGAUGCAAUGUUCACCCAAAAGGGAUGGAAAUCGUCCAUAAAUAGGAUGAAAAAUAGUUUCAUCCAAAUGAUGGGGGGGGGUAAAGGGUGCAUGGGUGAGGGACACAUGACAAAGGAGGGGAUAUGAUGAAACAUGCCAAUGGUGGAGCUUGUGAGGGAAGAGUGAUCUACUCCCCCUUCCCCCCAAGUACCAUGCUCCCCAUAUUCAGUUGCUUAUUCAUCCAUCCAUCCAUCCAUCCUCAAUAUCGCAUGUCGAUCUUUCAUCCACCCAUUGAUGGAUGAACAAUAUGCAUUCAUCCACAUGUGCUUGUCCCCACCCUGUCUUCUAUUUAAUCCCCUUCCUUGCCUCGUCGCUGCGGUGCGCGCUGCUGCGGGGGUUCAUGGUUUUGUGUCCCAGCUGAAUCGACCGACGUCUUCCGGCUUUGAUUUGCUUGGUUCGCAAGUAUGAGUUUAUUGGAAUUCUCUUCGGACCUUCAGAAUUGUGGAACUCAAUUGUGGGUUACGGGAGAAUGUCCUGCACCGUGAUCUGUGUCGAUUCAAUGCAGCAUUGUCUGAAUUUUUCUAGAGUUGCGUCGGUAUUGUGUUUGUGCACACAAAGAUAAUGUGAGAGGGAUGUGGGGGAUUUUUUUUUUUCUGAUGCAGAUUCCAGUUUCCCCUUCGGACAUUGCGAUGGCUUGCAGCUUCGACUUCGUUGUACUUCUCGUCCUCGUGGUACUGACUUCCUCCAAAAUGAUCAGCGGGAAUUAUCUGUUUUAUUAUUAUGUUUGUUUAUUUAUUUUUCGAUCGCUUGAUUGUUUUAAGUGGAUGUACGUGGGACUGGGUUUCUGAGUUGAAUGUUGUUGCACUGAAUUUGCAGGUGUUGGGAAGAGUGCUGGAGGUCGAGGGCCGCCCAAGUGGUACAUGGGGCUGGAUUGCUGACAGCAAUGAGGACAGUGGCCUCCAGCGCCUGACUGUUCCACAGUCGUUGCUUGGCAGUAUCGCGUCUCCUUUGAACGCAGAGGAGACUAACAAGUACUUGAACCAGCUCAACGACCACACUCUGCGCCACCACGGCCAGGACGACGAUUUCUGCAAGGUUGCGAGACUCGAAUGCAAUUCCGACGUAGAAAUCGUGGGAAUGUCCCGCAUCAAUCCCGUCGACCAGGAGUCUUUUGAGCAUAACCGUGAUUCAACGGACAUCAUGCUUGGAAACCAAUUCAACCACAACGACAUCAAUAAGGGCAACGAAAUCGUGUUGCCUGAGAAUCUCCAUGACUCACACCCUAUUGUGCCGUUCCUGCCUCAGUCCCUUUCUGAGAAAUUGCCCUUCUCCAGGUACUCCACCAUUUUGUCGAUGAAUUCCAACAAGCUGAAACUCUUUCGGGUUUAGAAUUUUCCAGUUUGAGGUGAUCACUAGUCAUGACAAUUCAAUGCUCCGUUUCCGACGCAGUGGCAAGAUGCCGGAGCUUUUGGACACUCUCAACAUCCACCGCGGCUCCAACAUGGCGAUGAUGAUGUACCGCACUGUGAGCCAGUGUGAAGCUCGGGAUCAGAGCAAGGAAAGUCGAAAGUGCGUGACCUCGUUGGAGGACAUGCAGAACUUCGUCAGUUCAAGACUGCCUCAAGACAAGCAUAUCACCGCUCUUGAGCGAUCCAGCUCCAUCUCAGGUGAUUCCAUUGCACCUCCUAUAUGAUAACCUUCAACUUCGGACAUGCAGCAAGGUGUUCAUUGUAAUGGCGUUAUUUCAUGUAGUUGAAAGAACGUGGGUAUUCGAACUCAGUAGUCUGGAGGCAUUUCAGGUGCCGUCAGGUCCCACUCAAAGGAUAGCUGGAAGGUGCUCGAUACCAAGCUUCACGAAACAGCCGUGAUCUGCCGCAAGAGCGUGUUCGCCUACGCCGUCUUCGAGUGCCAAGACACCAGCACGAGCAACAUGCACAUCUAUAGCGUCGAGAUGCAAGGUCACGACGGAUCCCGCAGAAGCGAAGUAGCCUCAUGCUCAAAGAACUUCGCCACGACUAGCGUGGAUGCCACGGCACACAAGAGGACCGAGGGACAAUCCUGCCUCUGGGUCACCGAUGCCUUGAUCUGGGCACCGACGAACUAGACUGCUUGCUGGUUCGAUUAACCUGGUCGAACACGACUGAACACAAACAUUGUCCAAAAAAUCAUAAAAUGUAAUAAGAGGGGAUUCUCAACACAUCAAGAACUUCGCUACUCUAGAGCUGGCACCCGCAAUAUCGAGGUUGAGGACGAUAAAAAAAACAAAGGAAGUGGGGAUUUGAUUGAGGAUAUUUCGGAGGCGUUCCGUAGUCGUCUCCGAGAGACGAAACGUGGCUCCCUGUGGUGUUGAUAGCUGGUGUUGGAUUGUAUAGAUGAGAUGAUUUGUCUGGGGGGCAGAAAGGAUAUGAUGAUCUCGUCCUCUUCUCUCCUCUCAAGUUGGAUUUAAUAAGACUGCUGCUGCGGUUGCAAGAGCAACUCCAGCUGCAAGUGCUACUCUUCAUCAUUUCCAUGGUUUGGUUUACCUACGGUAACCGUUCCCUCUAAAUCAAUGCUGGUGGGGCAGAUCGCAGGAGGCAAAAUAAUAAAAGAAAGGAAUGUGUUUAACCGGAGACUAUUUACACUAUAUGUUUUCCAUUCUGAAAUGCUCACCGAACUUGUCUAAAACCGGAUUUGAGAUCGUAUCUGCUCAUUUCGUUCAGAAAGUCUAUGGCAUGGUCAUUUUACCAUUAAAUUCUCGCAAGAUAUGAUCAACAUAACUGUCGAUGAGCACAUGUCUGAAUUCCAAAUAUUGCCUACCUUCAUCACAGCUUCAUCCCACAAAUCGUAAGAUCUCCGUUGCAAGAAUGAAAUUACGAACGCCUGCAGAAUCCAGAGCGUGCAUCCCAUAAUUCUGUUUGUGAACGCAGCCACCAACAUGGAUAGAUCCUCUAUCAACUGACAAUUGCAACACCGUUGGAACGUCAGUUUCGUAUAACAGAUUUUAACAAGUGUUAGUCAUUCUGAGGCAUAUUGAGAAGAAAGAAGAAAAUGGGUUGUGCACAUUCCCUCUGGCAUUUGUUGGUGGGUCGAUUAGUUGUUCCUUUCAGAUAUUGCGAAGCUUGGAAACUAUUAUUUUCUAUAUCUUUAAUUACAAAUUGGUUUCUAGCAUAUGUAAUCUUCAAUCUUCUAUACUCAAGGUCAUUUUUUUUAAUGUUGGCUUUUAAUAUAGAGCAUAUUGUUUUGUGUAAAUCAAAAUGCUUAAUUUCAAGCAAUUUAGGCAACAAUAUUCAACCCAUGCUUUCUUUAUAUAAAACCAAUACAAAAGUAUUUGGUACUUUACUUGUUUUCUACCAAUUUUUUUAUUUUUCCAAUACAAAUGGCUCUCAUUAAAGCCUUAUACUAUGUAUUACUUUUUUUUCCACUAGUAUUGUAUUUGAUCAAAUUGUAUCCAUGUUUUAAAUGUAGUAUACAUUAUGAGAUAUAAUAUUAUUUUCUCUUGACCACUAAACUUGCUACUAGUACAUAAUAUCAAAAAAUUUAGCAUCUCCAAGCUCACUACAUUAGAGUAUAUAUCAGCAUACAAAUAGCAUAUUUUAUUGGUUGGUCUUAAAUAUCAAGUCUAUGAUUCAUGCUGACUUUGGCAUAAUAUCUUUUGCUAUUUCAAGCAUAUCUUUUAUUUAUAUUACUAAUACAAUUGGUUUUUUUCUUUGCUAUUAGAUUCUCUAAAUCAUAAGCAUGGUAUUAUUAAUUAUUAAUUAUAUUUAUUUUUUUAUUAAUUUAGAGACCAUUUUUCUUAUAAAUUUAUAAUUAUCUUUAUUUUAUCAUUUUUAUUUGAAGAUAAUAUGCUAAAUUUGAUGCUUUUUUUGGAUUUAAAAGAAAACAAAAUAUUUGUUGCUCUUGUAAUAGAGCUUUAUGUUUAAAAACAUACUAGCAUAUUUUAGAAUUUGAUAUUAUUAAAAUUAUCCAACAUCUCAAUAAAAUUAUCAAUUUUACUGUGAUAAACAUGUAAAAAAUAACAAUCAUUUCUUGAUCUAAGGUCAUGGCUAUCAACGCUUGCUCUGAUAUGAAUUUUGAUAUCUUAUUGUCAUGGACAUACCUAUUUAUUCCAAUAAUUAUCUACAUUAUUAGAUAGAAGUAAGUAAAAGUAGAUUAAUUUUAUGAUAUCUUUUAGAAUAGCUUCCUAGAAGCUUUAAAGAUGUUGCUUUGACUUUACACGAGUUUGUAGUUAAUUGAUAGGCUAAAAACUUUGUCAACAAGUUAUCCAUGUAUUAUAUGUUAUCAUGUGGUUACAUGACUUUACAAUGAAAAAUAAAAAUAUGGAUGUUAUUAUAGAAAAGCAUAGCAAAAAAAUGUAGCAGAAAAAUAAGGAUAAAUAAUAAAAAUGUAGUAAAAGAUUUAGUCUUAAUGCUGCCUUUUUAUAGAAGGAACUUCUAUUUACUUUGUAAAGGCAUAAAUGAGCUAAAUCAAAGUAAAUGAGAUAAAAAAUAAUAUAGGCAUAUGUAGGAGGGAGUUAAGAAUAGAUUUUAGCAAAAUUUACAUGAAUAAGCCAAGAAUUGAUACACAAAGAGGACUAGUUGUCAUCUUGGAUCAAAAUCAAAUUCUUAGGCAUAAAACCACACAUUUACAGUGAUUCCAAGGUUAUUUGGAAGAUGAGUGAAUUGGAUGUGAGAGAAAACUUGAGGAGAUAUUUUUAGACAUUGGUUUUAUAUCAACCAACUCAAUAUUGAGUUUUUGAGGGAUUUUCAAAAUUAAUAAUAUUCUCAAUUGGUUUAGAUUUUUGGAAAAUAAAAAUAUGUUUACAAAUUUGAAGGUUUCUUGAGUUUUGUGGUGUUUGUACAAAUGAAUUUUAAACAACGUGUUGGUAUUCUAGUUGUAAAUAUAUGUAAAAUUUUUGAAAACAAUCAAAUGGUUAGAUUGAAGUGUAUAAAGGUUUUUGCAAGUUGAAGUCUCUGAAAUUAGAGUUUGAGGGAUUAGUGAGUAUUUCUAAGAUCUGCAGCAAUUAAUCAAUUGGAUUGAAGUGAUUUUUUUUUUUUUUUUUUUUUUUUAUUUUUGGUAGAUACUAGACUUGAUUUCCAACAUUUUAUGUGAAAUUUGGGAGCAAUUCAACUAUUCAAGAAGGAACUAUUGGUGCUAGAAGUUUAGAAUUGAGAUUUGAAUAGGAGGCCACCUAACACUUAAUUGGAUUAUCUUGCUUUUCUCUCAAUUGGUAAGUGUGAUUGAUCUCACCUUUCUUGUGCUUAUUUCUAACUAAGACAUUAAAAAGUGUGCAAAAUUUGAGUUGACAUCAAUGGUUUGAUUAUAGUUAUUGAAUAAAAAUUAAAACAAUAUAAAUUACAUCAAUGCUCUACAACAAAUGUUUGCAUUAAAUAUUGUAGAAUGGAAAAUAUAGAAGAUUUUACAAUAUAAAUAUAGGACUCUCUGAGCAUGAUAGUCAUGGAGAGAAAGGAACCCAUGAUAGCAUACUUAUGUGCAUAAAUGCCAAGUUAUAUAAAGCUUUAGGUACUCACUUACAAUCAAUUUGCAUUCUAUGGUUUGCCAAAUCUGGUUAAGCUUCUCCUCAAUCUGCUUUUUGGUUGUUGAUGAUUCAACCUCACAAUCAAAAUAUUGCAGAAACCUCCAAUUACUUUGCCUACUUCAAGUUCACAAGGCAAUUUUGCAAGGUAAAUUUCUUUGAGUGUUAUCAAAAAAUUUCAUCAAUGCAUUUUCUUCUGGCAUCAUGAAAUUAUUUACUGAGGCUGCUCCAUCUAUUGAAAUAGUACUUGAUAAUUGAUGGUGAUGUAUCUUAAACUAUGUUUAGAAAACUUGGUAAUAUUGUUAAAUCACCAGUAGCAAUAAGCUACCAAAAAAUAAGAACAUAUGUAAUCUUUGAUGUGUUCUAAUUGUGUGAAAUACACAAUUCAAAACAGAUUUUUAUUUUUCUAGUAAUUUUAUAAGGGCUUUAAGCAACAAUAAAAUUUGAACGGAAAGAAGCUCAAAUGCAAUAACGGCUUCAGUUAAUAUAGGGUCAAAAACACAUACCAAACAUCUGCACCAAGUUUUUAAAACUUGAACAUCAGAAAAAAUCACUUACUUUAACAAUUCAAGGACCACCACAGACACAAUCAAAAGAUGAACACAACCAACACAUCAAAAUGUGUACAAAACCCCCCUAAUUUACAACACACCAGAUGUGUCUUAAAAAAAACUGUUUCAAACUACGAAGCCUCUCACAUGAAUAAUUCAUCAGCGCUGGGCUAGAACAACAAGUGUAGGCAGAAGACCCAAAUUUCAUGUUAAAGGAAAUGCCUUUUAAAAAAUAAAUAAAAUUCAUACACUGAGGACCAACAAGGCAGUCAGGAGGGGAGAAUGAACGAAGGAUGUAGGGAAACACCCAAAUGGAUGAAGAAGCAAAUGAAAAUGGAUGAAUGUCUGGAUGUGUACGUGGAUGAAUAAUGCCGACGUGGACCAUGGUGAUGUGGCAGAAGCAGCAUCACAAAAGGCGGGGCGACCGCGGGGCCACUUUCUAUCGCAGGUAAAGAUCUGGCCCAGCGCUGGCGCUGCUGCUCCUGCGUCGUCUGCGUCGCCCCGAUCGCGCAUUCCAUUCCAUGGUGCCCACUCACUGCCUCUCCUUCGUAAAGCUCACACCACCAUUGCUUACAACUCUACCAUUGCUGGACAGACAAUCCAUCCCCUGUAUCUGGUCCCAAUUCCGCCAAUUCUCCCCCUCUCGUGUGUCUGUAUUCUCUUGUACCUUACUGCUGGAGCCUUAUUUGCAGACUUCUUCAUCAGCUCCUGAGGCUUGGACCUUGUUGCUGUGGGUGGAAUUGGAGCGGUAGUUGUCGCACAGGGUAGGCAACGCGCGUGGGUUGCGGUUGGAAUUUCGUGUUGGGUGGAAUAGUGGUUCGUUUUGGACUUGGGGUGUGUCCCAUGGAGUCACUUGGCGCAGAGUUUUUGUUUUGUCGAUUGCUGUGGAGUAUGUGGGCAGGUGGAUAUUGAGGAUUUUAGAGUUGUUUGGAGCAGGGGCGCAUGAGAAUUUGGGUUUAAGAUCCGCACCGCUGUAUAGUGGGUGCGUGUGAUUAUGUGGAGGCACACUCCGAACUCUGAUUUCAGCCUCUUGAAUUUCCAAGUGGGACGGUUGCUGUUUCCAGUUUGAGGCGGCCUUCGUUACGUACUGAACACUACUUUUUAAGGCGUUCGCAGCUUAGCAGGGUUUGGGGGAUUGGUGUUUCGAGAGAAAGGGAGAGAGAGAGAGAGAGAGAGAGAGUUUGGAAAACGGUAUGUGACGUUGUUGGCGAAUUUCGUAAGGAGAAGAAGCUAUGGCAGCGUCAAUCCGGGUUAGUGUCCCUUAUACAGUGGGUUUUGUGAAGGAGGAGCCGCAAACCAGAGUUCGGCCCUCUCAUGAUCAUGACUGUGAAUCUGCCGAUAUUGCAAGGAGUGAUGUGGACAAAGAUUUUCUGUGUCCGAUUUGUUUUCAGCCAAUGGAAGACGCGUUUCUUACUAGCUGCGGGCACAGUUUUUGUUACUCGUGUAUCACAACUCAUUUGAACAACAGAAAUAACUGCCCUAACUGCGCUCGAUACCUCACAGCGGAUCGGCUCAUACCCAACUUCCUCGUAACGAAGGUGAGUGCCACAUUUGAAGAUCCAUGUGAGGCGUUGCGAUAAUUCAAAGCAAUGUAGAUCUCCAAAACUGAGUGAGUCUCUCAAUGAAAUGCGCAGGAGUAUAGCAGCCUUGGAAAUGUUGCACCGCGUCGCAAUCACAUGUAUAUUCACCUGCUAAUAGCAUCCAACUAACAUGUGUAAUGGCAAGAGAAAUCAUCUUUCAAUGUUUCUACGGACAUCUAAACUCACAGAUGUCUGCUCUUUCCGAUUGAUAUAAGGUCGCUUGUAGCACCUUAGUAAAGCCUUUGGCAGACGAAUGCUCUAUACAAUUAUGUCCGUAUUGAUCAAAUCAGACUGAAUAGGUUACAUUUCAUCAACUUGUACAUUAGCGACUUCUAAUAUAGUACAUUGCACGUUGUUUACAGCUGAUGAGGAAAUUGACAUCCUUCCAUUGCUCCGGCAAAAUUUCUCCUGCAGAACAUUUGCGAUUUGUACUCCAACAGGUGACUUGCUGGAUUCAGACUGCUUAUUAUAUCAUUACCUGUUGUUGU
rnacentral:lncRNA from 1 species